UGCGGGGGUUUUUAGUUGGCUACUUUUGCUUGACUCGUUUCUAACAACCAAAGUUUACGAAGUAAUUGUGAUGAAAGACUAUGGCAUUGUAGAAUGUUGGACUCCUUUGUUUGAGAUCUUGAAUUUGACAUUCUUUGAGUUCUACCCUAACUGAAAUUUGAUGCCACUGAUGCGUGUGGAAAAUGGUCAUGUGUUAAUUGUUAAUGGCGGGUUAAUGUUUAGUUACAACCUUCAAACAGUGGAAUACAAUCAUGAUUAUCCCGAAGUGUCUAAUGGAUGUACCCAAAAGUUUAAGCUACCCCGUUCGGCAAAGGCAGAUCGAAGGACAGUCGGACCCUGAAUCAGAAGGGGAAUAUUCCAAAUUUCCAUCCCAAAGAAGAGGAAUGCUCAAUGGACCAUGAUUAUGGGAGAGCAUUUACCGGACCAUCAUUCAGAAGUGGACUUUAGGGAAUUUGAGUUUUUCAUGAAUUACCACUUUCCGCAUUCAUUUAAAAAAUAAAAAAUAAAAAAUCUGAUGUUGUCCCCUGUUGUGUAUUUACCCUCUCAAUGUUUUCUAUAAAACUUGUGCAAAGAUCAUUCUACUUAUAAGCCUUCGAUCUUCUAAGAAACAAAUUAUGCUACAAAUUGCCAGAUAACUACAUGGAUUUAGGGUUUCGACUCCAUGUUCUUGAUUUUUCUGAUCAUAGUCCCCUUAUUUGCUCAAUUAGCUAACACUACAAGAAAAAAGGUCAUUAGUGACAACAUUUCUUUGUGAUGACAAAAAGUCGUCACAAAAUGAGGUUGUUUAGUCACAACUUUGAAGGUUGUCACAAUUGAAUCAAAACAACUAAUUUUUCAGUGACAACCCUUAAUUGUCGUCACAAAACUACUUCGCGCCAUGGGACUUGGAAGGCGCGAGUUUUGUGAUAGUGACAACUUGAUAAAAGUUGUCAGUAAUUCUAUCUCUUUUUUGACAGCUUUUCAUUGUUGUCACUGUUUAUAUUUAUUGAUGACCAUUUUUUGUCAGUAAAACUAUAGCGUAGUUAAUGACAACAUAGUAUCAUCACUAACUUGAACAUCUCCAAUGCAUUUAUUUAAUUGUGAGCCUCAAUAUUAAUUUAAUUUUUUUAAAAAUUUGAUGAUUUAUUAAACUAGUCAUAGUUACUCAAAAAAUAAUAGGUUUUUAACUGAAAAAAUUAAUAAAAGUUUCUAGUUAGAACAACUAUAUAAACUAUUACAACUUGAGAAAGAGUACAUUUACCAGUUCUUUGAAUUUAGCAAAAAAUUUCAUCUAUUAUAAUUUUUUAAUAAAUAUGUUAAGAUGUAGUUAUUAGAAAUACAUUAGUAAAUUUAAAUAAAAAUUGAAGCUAAAAAUUGACUUGGAUUGUCUUGAUUGAGUAGUACCAGAAAUUUGUUCAAACUAAAAAUGAAAAAAAGUGGCACGGGUACUAUAAAGGAACCGCUCUUACUCCCCACAUCCAGAUGUCUUCAGUACUCUUCACACUCUCAAUCCUUCAGUCAACUUCUUUAUUCUCAACCCCAUUUAUUCAUUUUCCAAACCCUUGCAGCAAUGGAGGCGGGCAGGCAGCCAAGAGAAUACAGAACAUUGGUGAUAGAAAGGGAAACGGGGCCUCACGAAUUCCAUUUCAGACCAAUUCACGGCUACAAUUAAAAGCAUCAGAAAGAGAAAAUGACACUGUCAUUUCUGCAGAACCGGUUGCAAUGUGAUGUGGGUAAAACAUUGGAAUAGAAAACAUAGAGACCCAACCCCAGAAAGAUGAAUGGAUCCCCUCAAACCCCUUAUCUCCUCCUCCCAUUUGCCAUCCAGGACAAGGAGGGCAUCCCCCCAGACCAGCAGUGCCUCAUCUUCACCGACAAGUAGCUGGAGGAUGUUGCACCCUAGUCGACUACAACAUCCAGAAGGAGUCCACCAUCCACCUCAUCCUCCGCCUCCGCAGUGGCACCAAGAAACGCAAGAAGAAGACCUACACCAAGCCCAAGAAGAUCAAGCACAAGAAGAAGAAGGUCAAGCUUGCCGUCCUCUAGUUCUACAAGGUCAAUGCUUAGCUAGGUCCUCUCAUGUCUCUACUUGUUUCCCUAAUUUUCCCCAAUUAAUUUGCCUAAAUUUUUUCCCCAAGUAUAUUUUUGCAAAAUUUUUGGUGGCUAGUUUGAGUCGUGGAUUUAAUCAUCUCUUUCUGCAACAUUUUGCAAAAUUUGCCCUAAUUUUUUUUUCACAAAAUUUUUUUGGUGAAGGAAUUCAAGGUAGGGGAUGAAGUAUUCGGAGAGAUUCACGAGCAUGCUUUGUACCCAAAGGGAUGUGUGUCACUGGCGGAGUACAAUACAUUGGAGGAGAAGGUACUAGCUUCGAAGCCCAAGAAUUUGAGUUUUGCCGAGGCAGCUAACCUUCCUGUUGCCGUUGAAAUAGCGUACGGGGGAACUUGAAAGCACUGGGCUUUCAGCUGGUAAAUCACUUCUUGUUCUGGGUGGUGCUAGUGGAGUUGGAUCUUUUAUCAUUCUGGUAAAAAUUUUGGCCUUUCUUUUUUCUUCGUUCAGCUUUAUCAUUUUCCUUGAAUAAUUUUGGGUUUCUUCAUUGUCUAGGUCUAUGCAACUGCUACUGUCUUUCUUGUAGUUUUUUUGGAGAGGAAGCGAAAUUUCCUGACGCAGUGUAGUGGAGGUAGCUUUUUUUUUUUACCAGUCAUUUAUAUCUAUUUUUAUUGUCUCUCUGCUAUAAGUUUUUAGUAUUCCAUUUUGAUGGACGAGCUUUUUUUUUUUAAACUGUAAAAGUAUUGGAAAUAAUUCAGAUAGGUUGUCUCCAAUUGAGUCAAAAAGUGCAUUGGUUGGGAAUGAGCCAAAAAAUGAAGGGUUAUUGUCUGCUACAUCCUGCUCACAUAGCAAGCUGCUGAGGGUUUGAACUGAUACUGCUAAGCUUUUUUUCUUGCAAAACCUUUUCUCUAAGCUAACAGUAUUGAUUGCAGUUGUACUAUAUGUUUCCUAUUGUAAUGCAAAAAUACAUAAGGAGUUAUCCAAAUGAGUAAAAGCUUUUUUAGUGAUAGCAUCUGGAUGUAUCUCUCUCUGAAACUAAUCAAUUCCUAUAUCAAUAGAUAGUCUUUUGCCACCAUUCAUGUGUUGUUGCACAUUUUGCCACCAUUAAUCUGUUGUUCUGUUUUGGACAUAAUUUACUCUCUUCAUUUAUUUUCAGAACUAGUGAAAUAUGCUAUAUUUAUUGAUUUAUUCUUAUUCAGAAAAUUGUAGGUUUUAAAAUCCUUCUGUUGUAUGUCUUGAUCCCACAAAAAAGUUGCAGGGGAAGGGGUUGGUUGCUGCCAAUCCUAUUGCUAUGUUGUUAUGCCAAGAUUGGCUAACAGUUAAUUGAGGAAUUAAAGAAAUGGGGAGGCAGAAUGUGGGUUGAAUAAUAGACUAAAAGCUGGUAGUAGUGUUACUUUGAAGGGUAUGAUUAAUGUAUGAAUCUUAAACCUGGACCUAGCAACUGGUAUACCAAAUUUUUUGGUUUAUUGUGGUUGAAAGAUUGGAUGCCCCUAGUAGUGGUGGUUAACUACCUGAUACUUUCUCCAUCAAAAUCUGUUUUUCAUUUUUUUAAAUAUCUUUUUAUUUUUUUGAGCUACAUUGCUCUAUCAAUGUGUGUGUGCGUGAGACUGCUAGAGAGAGCUUGCUGAAGCUGAGACAGAACAAGAACAUUUGAAUCAUUUAGAUGACUGAUUAAAAAGUUGCUCCUGCAUUCUUUGAAAUAAAAUAUCCAUUUACAGCACGAAUUUUGGUCAUAAGUUUGUUCAGUAAGAUUUUGUAAUGUUUUUUUGUCCUGUAACUUACUAAGAUAGGUUGCUUAAAUACCAUGAAUCUAUGAAGAUGGCACUUAAAAUGUUUUAUCUGGUUGUCUUAUCCAGGGUGUGAAGAAUGAGAAAGAAGAAUUUGGGCUGAUUUUCAUUUUGAUUUUGAAUGAGAAACUUUGUUUUCAUAUUUUGUCUAUGUUACUUUAAGUAUCCAAAAAUGAGUGUGAGAAUUACAUACUUGUUAUCAUGUCUCUUCCAAAGUUCUAUGUUUUGUUGGUCAAGUAUGUUAGCCAACAGAACUUUUUUUUUUCAGAUUCAAUAUUAAAUGUAUGUCUCAAAGAAAAGUUACUUAGAUAUUCCUAUCAAUUGACUUUCUUCUUGAUUAAUGUGCAUGUUAGAUUGAGCAGGCUUUUAAUCUAACGCAAUGCUUUGAAAACUAGCCUUCAAAUCAGUGAACCUAAAAUAACCAAUAUUUUUAACUUUAAACUUUCAUUUACUUUGGUGCAAAUCUGUCAAUUCUGUCUUUUUUCUAUUAAUAAUGGUUCAUUUGUGAUUUGUUGUUCUGGAAUUAGAUAGCUUCAAAUAUUUUGCAAGAGUUGAUCAACAUUCAUAAUGAUGCAAAAGUCAUAUAAGCAAUCCAAGAUUAGGUCGGAGAUGAUAAGGCUAUCUUUAUUGAGCGAACAGUAGUAAAAUCCAUAUGUUUAUUUUUUUUUCCCUUAAUUUCCAAUAGUUUAAAACACCCUGGUAAAAUCAGAUGUAUUGGUCAGUUCCAAAGAAUUAGUGAUAAUUAUUGAGGAUCAAUAAAACAAGUUGUAGCAGUACUGUGCUAAGCCAUCCUUGGCAGAGACAAAGAAAUGUUUAUAACUUUGUAUGAAUCAAAAUUUCAUAUAGUAGCAGGUUAGGUUUUGGCUUAGUAGCAGUUUUAGGUUUGGCUUUUGAAUUACUAGAUAAUUGAAAAGCAGUUCUGAAGGUUAACCUUUGAUUAGAAUCUUUGGUUGCUAUCUUGUUUCUAGCACUAAAGCUUCCAUCAAUUUUGAUGUUUGAGAGGGUGCUAUUGUGAGGAUCCGAAAAUUUUCUUAUUUCGUCAUAUAUUACUGGUUUAUUAAAUAGUUAUUCACUCAUUUUCUCCGAGUUAUUUAAUUCGACUACUUAAAAUCCAUUUUAUGGAAAAACACCUCUCUUAUGUUGUUAAAGCGUUUUGUUAGAAAAUUUACUUUUCGAAAUCGUUUAGUUCGGAAACGAGUAUACGUUUUUUGAGACUAUAUUUGAAUCGAGAGUAUAUUAAUUUUGAGAAGUAAGAAUGAUCAUAGUAGAUUAAGAAAAGUUAACUUGAGAUUUGAGGAGUUAAAACUCGACUCAUGUGAGGACUCGCAAAUUUAUUUUUUAAAUUCCAUUUCGAGCUUAUUUAAUAUUUAAUUGCCCAUUUACUCCGAAUAUUAUUUUCUAGUCAUUUAGACCUAAUUACAUGAGUUUAUAGCUUCGUUAUAAUUUUAAAGUGACUCGUUUCAAAUUUAAUUUUUGAAAACUCGUGAAGUGAAAAUAGCGAAUACGCGAUUGGAGUUAAUAAUCAAUUCGAGAAUACACUAAGUUUGGAAAUUAGAGACUUGCAGGAUGGACUUAAAAAUAGGUAAUUUUAUGUUUAAGUACUUAAGUGAUAGUUAUUAGUACUAUCGUUACAAAAUUCUUGGAAGUUUCGCUUUAUUGCGCUUAAUUUGGAGAUACGCGUUUUUACGCGCGCGAUUAAUUGAGGAACUAAAGCCAUUAUUUUUGGACUAUUAAAACUGAAUAACAAUAGUAUGUAUACAAGUGCAUUAGAGGUUUAGUGCACUAGUGAAAUAAACUCGAGAGGAAUCAGAGCACAAAACGUGCGCGUACGCGCACUAUUCCUAAUUGACUUUUGAAACAAACUUUGGCCAAAUCUUAAAGCUUCUCACGGAAGCUUAUUAUCAGCAAUUGCUUUAUUUUUCUGCUCUCAUCAGCCGAACAACACAAGGGAAAAGAGAGCUCCAAGCUUCAACUUUCUUCUUCAAAUUCCUCCAUCAAACUUCCUCCGUUUCACUUCAAAAUUUGACCGCACCUAGCUUAAACUCUUGGAGAUUACAUCUAGCUAAGAAAAGGGGGAGCUUUUCACAGUUUUCUUGGCCAAGGAGAGGACGAAAAUUUCUGUUGUACACAUCAAAGCAAGUAGGUACGAUCAACCUCGGAAACUUAAUUUAUGGAAGUUCUAGUGCACCUUUAAACUCUUACUUGCAUAUGGGUAGUUUGUUUUGAUGGAAAAUUUGGUUGUGUGGGCUCUAUGAACUCCCGCCUUGGAUAUAUGGACUGAUUUGUGGUGUUUUGAUGGUAAUAAUGUUUAUUUAGUGCUUAAACUAGUGGAUUAAUGUUGGGUUAUGAUGGAAACUCAAAUGAGUGCAAUGGGAAAAAGUGACCAUUUUACCCCUGCUUUGUUCGACCACUUUCGUGCAAGAUUUUGAGGUUCUAAUGGCUCUUUUAUGUUGUUUACAUGUUAUACUGAUUGUGUGAAAAGUUUCAUGGAAAAAUAAUAUGAUUUGGUUGGUUAAAUGAAGUGAUUUCCAAAGUUUAGAAAACUGGAAAAUGAUUCCGUCACUACCAGACAGUCAUCUUGUUUCGGCUAUAAUUCAUUGCUCCAAUGUCGGAAUAUAGUGCUGUUUGCGGCACUGGAAACUAGACAUUCCCAGCUUUCAUUUGGUAUAAAAUUCACAUUUUGGUUCCACUCGAGUGAGCCAAACCAUUCGUUUGAAAAUUGCUGUCUGUUUCGUUUGUCACUGGGAGGCAGAUUAUGAACUGCGAUUUGAUGCUCACGUAUGAGCUGGUUAUGGACAGAUUUUGAAAAUGGUUUCUUCUGAGAAAAUGUAGCCUUAUGAAUCUAUUUUCCAACGCUACCAACUACACUUAAUUCUGAGUUGAAUUGACUGAUUUGUGAUCGAAAUUCAAAACUGACUUUGUGAACGAAAACAGUGUUUUUGGACAGAUUUGAAACUAACUACGGUUUGGGACUUGUUAUCCAAAGUUUCUUAUUGUAAAUCAUCUAUCGAAUGUACCUUGAAUAUAUUUUGGACAUUUCCUAAUGGAAUGAACCAUGUUGGAGAUGUUCCUUGACCAAAUGUUUGGAAACGGCAAAACGGAAGUUCAAAGGCAGCUUAGCCUUAGAAUUUCUUGUGAUUUCAACGGUUUUGUUAACCCACUUUCUGUGCUUAUUUCUCCAUGAAAUUUGGUAGAGGAACAACCCUUAUAUGUAGUAUUAUACUGCUAAUUUUAGUGUUAUUCUGAGGCCGUUUCAUUGCUCAACUAAACUUCCAAAGUUCGUGAAUUGAUUUUGGAAAACCGUUGUUUAACAGGAAAUUUGAGUAACUUUGAGCUACCAUAUCUUGGUGCUCGAAAUUUCAAUUCUCAUUCUGCUUAUUUUGUUUUAAACCUGGAUUACAACUCUAAUAGAGUUCCAAAUUUUAGAGGCUAGCUCGAAUUGUAUGAAUUUUGCCAAAUUUUCAAACUUUGUCGAAAAUCAACCCAAAUCUGUCUUGACUUUCUAAAACGGCAGCUUUGGGCUAAAUUUCGAAUAUUUUCCAAUUAGAAUCAUGGAAAAGUGUCUUCUAGGAACUUUUAGUACUUUGGAAGUAAUUUCAAUGGCACCAAGUUUUCAAUUUUGGACUUGUAGAGAAUGAGAUACGAUUUUCCAAAGUAUGGGUGACAAAUCUGAAAUUUCCGAACUUAAAGGAAAUUGAGGGUUGCGAACUCUCUAUUUUCCUUCGAUAUUGCUAAACCGUUUUACACUUGAUUUCAAAGAUGAAAAUUAGAUUUCGCUUGUGUUUUAAAAUCCCAUUUUUGAGUCUUGAUUUACGAGUAAUUAAGGCUCAUUUUCGUAAAUUUUCUUAGAUUGUACAAGUGUGCAAUCUUUCUCGAUAAUUAGGGGUUUUAAGCGAUAGUGUGUAAUAGAAAAUUACUAUUUGCUCAGGUGCUCAAGGAGACCUACAAGAGGAUCUCGAAGGGACCACCUAAAGGCUUGUUUACGCACUUACUCCCUUGUUUCGAUUGGUGAGUGUCAAGUGCAUGAACUUGAUGUUAAGUGGUUAUCUGUUUCUUAUCCGUUAUGAAAAUUUGAAAUUUUGAGACGAGGGUGUACUUUACAGCACUCGUGCUCUUUCAAAUGAAAUUAUAUUCGAAUUUUGCUAUGUGAAUUCAUAUCCAACUUGUACAUGGUAAUGUGGAUGUGAUUCGUAUUUGUUUUGAUUCGUAUAUGUGAUCUGUAUUUGUGAUUCCUAUUUGGAAUCGUCGAUUUGAGCGUUGCUCGUCAACUUAUAUUCGUAUUCGUAUUUGUAUUCGUAUUCGGGAGACGCCCAAACUCGUUGGUUAACUUUGCGAAUCGAGCCACCAUGGGCUUGGUCGAUAAGUUUAGCCAACCAUGAGAUAUUCGUAGAGUAUGAUCUAUUGGAGAGAUCUUGCUCGGCAUUACAGUGCAUUGCCAUGAUAUACUCAAGUAUUAUCAAAAACUUUGAUGAGCGGGCCCGGUAAGGGGUGUAACGGUGACGGGAUUCGAAGAAAAGUGGUGUAUCUACGGAUUUGAUACUUAUGUGGUUGACGGAGUGUCAACGAAAAAUGUGAUCAAGACUUCGACUCAACUACGUGGAAUUUAGCUCCUGAGAGCUACAGUAUCCUUGAAUUGUUUCUGUUUAUUUUUCCUAUUCGAAAUGUGAAAUAGUUCGAACUUUAUAGCUUUACUUACUAUGUAAUUUGUGGCUACUUGGAUUAUGUGUUUGCAUGUGUGUUUCUUGGCCUCACUGAGUAUUGGCUCAUCCCAUUAGUUUGUUUUCCUUAACAGGUUGGAUUGGAAGAUUUUGGAAAAAUCGACUAGAUUAUACUUUUGAUUGGAAUCUGGGCUGUAAAUGUGUAGUCGACUUUUAAUGGUUGUAUUUUGGGACUUGAUGUAUCUUUUGUGAACAUGAUGUAAGAUUUGAAUAUUUAGUUAAGGAAGCGACUUUUCUUUAUUUCGACUUGUAGUAUUUGGUAUGUAUUGUUAAGUUCGAUUUGAAUUGUCUUGAAUUCUGGCGAGAGUUGGGCAGGCGUCCCGCGGAUACCCUUGGGUUCGCCCUUGGGAGAAGUGGGGGCGUCACAGCUAUGGUCAACAAUGUUGGGUUUGUUCUCUUUGAUAUUUACUUGAAAAAAGUUUGCAAAACUUUAGGAAGUUAAUGAAUUUAUACGGUUGGAUUAGUACAAUCACAAUUUUAUAUCUUACCUAGUUGUUUGUCAGAAGUUCUAAGUGCUUUAUCUCUUACUUUGCUCUUAUUUAGUCACUAUCUAGAUGAUACUUAAAAGAAAUGAUUUAGCUUAUUUUCUUGCAAAUUCUUAAGUUCUCUUUCUUGUCUCAAGUUUUUCUUAUCACCCACUAAUAAUUGAAGUACUUCACUGCAGAUAUGUUGCUCAUUAUAGACUUCUGGAAGAUCAGCAGCAAGAGUUGCUAAUUGACUCAAGAACUAUAGAGAAAAUCUUAUGCUCAAGAAAUGUUUCGACAACACUUUUUUUGGGGACUUGGAUUUGUUUUGUAAAAUUACCUUGACUUAUAUAUUAAAUUUAGGCUAAAUACCCCUUAUCAAACUAUUUGUAUGGUGUUAUUGAACUUGAUUAUGAUAUUCGAAUGCUUAAAAUGAUAUUUUAGCAUUUCACAAUGUAAUGGAUGCCUUCAUUUGUUAAUUGUAAACCAUUGUCUUUUCUUUUUUCAUAUUUAUGAUAUAAUUUAGCAGGAAAAUCAUCAAAUUUCAUGGUGGCAAAGUGUUGUCACUAAAUUAGAUUUCUCCAUUGACAACCACCUAUUGUUAUGGAAUUGAAAACUGUUUAGUGACAACAGAAGUUGUCAGUAAUUAGUUUAUACUAGUUGACACUAUGGAUUAGUUUUAGUGACGACAUUGCUUUGUACAUCAUUGACAAGAUACUAUGUCAUCACUAAAAUUACAACAAUUACUGACGACACUAGUUGUCGCAAAAUAGUUCCAUUCACUGACGACUUUUAAGGUUGUCACUGUAUACUUUUACCGACGGGCCUUUCAGUGACGACUAGAAAGUUGUCAAUAAAACUUAUCAGUGACGACUUUUUCUUUUUUUGUGAUGAAAAUGGCUUGUCACUAAAAACCAAUUUUCUUGUAGUGUAAUUAAUUGCCGGAUGGUAAUCUAUGACUAGAAUUGGUUGGAUACUUUUCUGUAUCCAGAAUUGAUCCCUUAGAAUUAUAUUUAAUGAUGUAAGAUCAUAAUAUUCUAAACUAGGGCAAAUUAAUAUAUUCUUAAUGCAGACAUUAAUUGAAAAGAGGAGCUCCUUUUAUUCAUUGUGCGUGUAUGGAUACAAAGGUUGUUUGGUGACUGAAUCUUGAUAACAAAUUUUAGGAUUUAAAUUAAAGCACUUUGAAAUAGUUGGCCUACAUGCUUCGUGGAUCAUUACUUUUUAAGUCAUCCAGUAAUAUAUCUUGUGUUUACGAGGGAUUAAUUUCCUGACUCUUAUUUAACUAAAUAAUCUAGUUUAGUGUCUUCUUCAACUUGAGCAGGGGUUGAUCAUGAUAUAUAGAUUCGUUGAUGAAGUUAAACCAAUGAUUUCCAUCAUAAGCGGUCCAAUGCGGGGGACUGGUGGGAUUUCCAGCUAAUGAAAAUUUAAAAACAAUCCCAACUGAACUUGCAAACUAAAUCUAAUUUCUGUUUCCCAGGUUUCCACCGCUCCUAAUUUUAAAGCCUGUUACUAUACAGCAACAGAUUUCGAGAUGAGAACAAACAAACCCUUUUAACUACUUUUGUACAAGAAGAAUUUUACGAGGCUUUAUUUCGAGAAAGUGAGAACAAACUUGAGCAAUAGAUCAAUGCCAAGCACCAUGGAUUCAAAGAAAACAAGGAUUAAGGAUGUCAAGGAUAAGCUUCUUCACUUAAAACUACACAUAUAAAGAAAGAUUUUAUUAAUUUGAGUACAACUUAAAUUACAUCAUGUAUUAAAACAUAUUUCCUCAAAAAAUUGCUUGACUUCCUUAAAUCCGUCUUGCAAGAUAUUCUAAGGCACAAAUUACCUACCAAAAAAUCAUUUUAAGUGGUGGACGUUACUAAAUUUAAUUUAACCAUAUCCUUUGAUGCCUUACCACCACCUAGAUAUAUAGAAAUAUAGAUUAAUAUUGGAUGGUCAUUUGUUUAUUUUUUCGGGUUAAAAAUUCUCUUUUUGUUUGGAAUUUUUCCUUAAAUAAUUAUUAAGAAUGCAAGCGUAUUGUCGUCUCAUUGAAAGAGAUAUCUAGCCCUAUCAAAUUGAUAGGAGAAGUAAGUGAGAUUUUAAAAAUUUCAAGGAUGUAAGUGAUAUGAAGAGAAACCUUAGAGGAGGUUUCCUUAAAUAAUUAUUAGACUUCCCAUGACAUCUUUGGUGAAAUUUAAGUUCAUAAACAAGCUUUAGAAUAAUAUAUAUCUAAUGAUAAAUGCGUACUCGAUAUGUAUGUAAUAAAGAAAUCCAUAAUAUUUAUAAUGAAUGAAUUUUACAUAUAAAGUUUUACUAAUAAAGAAAAUUUUGAUCUUCUAAACUAUUUGACAAGAUGAUUGUUAAGUUGGCAGUUACUAUUUAAGGGUGGUUACAUUGAAAAAAAAUAUAUGUCUAAACAGUAAAUUGAAAAAUUCUUGCAGGUAGUUAUCUUGACAACGUGUGUUUAGGUAAUUAAAAUAAAAUUAGCUUUUAUAAAGACAAAAAUAAAAGUACGUAAAGCGACAAUAAAAUAUUUACACCAAACCCUCUCCUCUCCCUUUAUAUAUACUAUCUAACCCCAAUUUUCUUCUUUCUAGAAAUAAAAUCCAAGUAGUUUCCAUGUCAUCCAUGAAAGUUAUCUCAUGCUUCGCUCGAUAAAUAGUCUAGGAUCUAUUUUUUUUUAUAUUUUUUAUAACACCUUAUUUUAUUGAUUGGAACCAGAAGAGUUCAUGCUAUGAAAUUCGUAAGUAAGGAAAACUCAAUCUAUCUAAAGACAACGAAACCUUUAACUGGGUCUAGCAAAUGUUGGGAGCGAUAAAUAUCAGACACACGGUUUGCACUGGCGCAACAAGCAAGGGCAUCGGCUGCAGAGUUGGCUUCCUGAUAAAUGUGGAGAAGGUGGUGUAAAGAUCGAAAACAACCUAAGAGGGGGGGAUUAGGUAAAUUAAAAACUAACCAAGUUAUGAGACACUUAUUGCUCAAUGUGAAAUUUACCCUCUUUUCUAGAUGACCACACAAUGGAACAAAUAAUGAGAAAGUACAAAUGCUCGUGAGUAGAAGAGAUGAACAACUUAUAUUGCAAGAUAGUAAAUGAAAGAGAUAGAAUAGCAAACCGAAUUCCAAACUCCUCUUGAGUUUGAGACUCACUUUAUAGAGUAAGCUUCUUCAAGUUGAUCAAUUAUAACCAAUCUUUGUGUACAAAGAAAGAAUCACUUCCUCGUUGCUCCAAAUCACACUUGGUCAAGUUAGAAAAUUUUACUAUCACUCGGAUAACCCUCACAAAGUUACACUAUUGAAGUAAUUUUCUCACACAAGAAAAACUUAUGCGAAAUCUAUAUAACUAAGAGUACAAAUCUUCUUUGAAAAGAAUUUUCUCACUAAAAUUGUUUAAAAUCUGUUGUAGUCUCAAUGUGCAAAAGUAUUUUUAAGUGGUUGAUUUUGCUCUAUUUAUAUGAGCCCAAAAAAUUCCUCCAUUAAAUCUUCCAACGGAUAGAAGGCAGCUGAAGAGUCAACUAGCCGUUGGCAGUAUCAGACGUCCGGUAGUCUUGUUUCUUGCGUCCGACAGCAGGCAGAGAGCAAAAAAAAUUUUCUUUAAUUCUUUCGGACGUCCGGUGUCUACAAAGUUUACGUCCGAAAGCAGAUGGUAAAGUUUGAGGAAUCUUCUUCAAUUCUUUCGGACGUCUGGUAUCUCCAGUGCUCUGCGCCCGAAGUGUUUCGCAGUUUAUCGGAUGUCCGAUGCUUUAACAUUUUCCGUCCGAUCGAGAUCAGUAAGUUUAGAGAAAAUGUUUUAAUUCUUUCAGACAUCCGGUGAGGGAGUUCUUCAUGCGUCCAAAGUUGCUCAAUGAUUGUCGGACGUCCGAUCCAGUCUUUGUGAGCGUCCGACCGCUUCAGCACUCUUUGUCUUUUCUAAAUGUGCUUAAUCUUUAAACCUGAUUUGCUCUAUUGCUGAAAAGAUCUUUGAAGAGAGAAUUAGUAACAUCCAUUUUUUUAUAAACAUCAAAAGUUAGGGACUUAGAUUUACAAUCUCUCCCCUUUUGAUGAUGACAAAACAAUGGAUGGAGAGAAAAAGAAUCAUUGAGUCAAAACUUCCCCUUAAUGCAUAGUGUAAAAAAUUCUAAGUGCCACUCCUUCUCACACAUAUACCAGAAGACUUUAAAACUUCCUGACAUUCCAUUUUCUUAUUAUCCUCAUCCAUUUCUCCCCCUUGUUGUCAUUAUUAAAUGAUUCAAAUUCAUUUCACCACUUCCAGCAACACAACAUCAAUGUCAUCAGCAACAUCAUUAACCAAGAAUACCAAAAACAGCAUUAACCAGCAUCAUUAAUCAAAAACCAAUAUCAGCAAUCACAGAGAUGCCAAUCAUUCGUAAAUAGAGUUAACCAAACAAAGGAUGACCAACAAAAGUAACUAGAAAUCAUUCAAAAUAUAAAAGUUAACCAAAGUUUACAAGCCAAUAGAGUUAUCUAAACAACCAGAAUCCUGAGUACAGAGUACUUGAAAUGUUAAAAUGUAGAAGAUACAAAUGACUAGUAUGAGAUGCCAACUUAAACAUGAAGUGCACGUGCCUAGAGGUGCCUAAAUUGAGAUCUUGGACGAUCCGGGCCGCCUCCUAGUUAGGUGAAACUGAGCAAGAUCCACUUAUUCUUCUUCAAUCUCCUCAUCAUCAUUAUUGUCUUCAGUUGUUGGAGCUUUUCCCUUAUCCUUUGGCUGAGAACUAGAAGCAUGAACUUCUGGAUUGGAUUUAGUAUGUGGAGUGUGUUCAGUUGGCUCAUUUUCUUGAGGGAUAGGGGGCACAAGCAAGUUCCUUUUGGCAGUGAAAGAGGCUUGUUGUUCAGGUGACAUAGUCAUCAUCAGACCAUCCUCUAGAAGAAAAAUAUGCUGUCGGAGGUCCUCAAGUAGGGAGAUGACCUCAAAGUUAGAUGAAUAGGCCCUAGGAGAUGACCUUCUAGGAUGAAUAGUAAAGGGUGAGACAAACAUGGACUGAUCUUGAGGAGAUCUAUGGGUGACAGGAGUUUCAUGACGACUCUUAGUCCUAUUUUUCGAAACAGUUUUCUUGUGGCACCAAUGACUGUGAGACCCCGAAAUUUUACUUUUCUUUAUAACCCUUGUGUGACCUCGCUUACCUUUGAUUCUUGGUUGCUUUAAUGAUUGAAUUUGAGUCAAGGGAGUGAAUUUUGUUAAGAAAAGUUUCAUAAUCUCAAGUUGUUAGAAAAUCAAGAAAUUUUCGCAGGAGGCUCUUCGCAACUUUGGAAAAUUGGCAAUAACUUCGUAUACGAAAGUCAGAAUUGAGUUCCAUUUGUUGCGUUUGAAACUAGACUCAAAGGGCUUCCUACAAUGUAAAAUUUAGAGUUUGAUUCAAUCUUUAUAAAUUCCAAAAAAUUGGCAAAGUUGAUUGAAAAUUCUGCCCUGCACAAGUAACAACAAGAAUGUUGUAGUAGCUUAUAGCCCAAUUUGGACCAACUUAUGAAUUGAAUCUCUUUGAGGUGUCUUCUAAAGAUUAUUAGUAUUCGAAGUCUAGUUUUUAACAAGCUAAGUUUUAUGAAUUUUUAAUAGUUAUAACUCAAGUUAUGAUUUUUCUAAAGGGAUGGCAUAAGUUAGGGUUUUUUUGUGCAUACUAGGGUUUUUAGUGUGUUUUGGUGCAUUUUGGUAGUGUGAUCAUUUGGUGAAAUGUGUGUACUAAAUUUGGUGAAUAAGAAUGAGUAUUAGGUAAGAAACGUGUAUGAUUAGAAGUGUUAAUAAUAAGUGAGUGAACCAUAAGUAAAAACACAAAUACGCGCGAGUUAGAGAAAAACGGCUCGAACAGACAUGCAGCGCUUGUUACCGAAUGAGUGCACCAUGUUGAUCUUGAUCCCUACCUUUUGAUGUUUACAAAACAAUGGAUAAUACUAAUAUCUCUUCAAGAAAUAUUUUCAGUUAUGAAGCAAAUCAGAUUCAAAGAUCAAGUGCAAAUGAAAGGGACAAAGGCUGCUGAAAGCUGUCGGACGCUUGUUCGGAUGUCCGAUAAUCAUUGCGCAACUUCAGAUGCAUGAAGAACUCCACCACCGGACGUCCGAAGGAAAUAAGACAUUCCCCCGACUCACUGACCUCGAUCGGAUGGAAGUAUCGGAUGUCCAAUAGAUCGUUCAAAUUCGACAAAAGCUGUCGGACGCUCACAAAGACAAUACCAGACAUCCGAUAGAAUUGAGAUAUUCCUUCUAACUCAUUGUCUGCUUUCGGAUGCAAGCACCGAAUGUCCGAUAGAAUUGAAGAAGAUUUUUCAAACUCACUGCCUGCUAUCGGACGCAAGAAACCUGACUACCGGACACUACAAGAAUUUUGGUCAUCAGUGACAACUACCUUUCGCCACAAAAAAUCAAAAAGUCGUCACUGAUGACCAUUAUUGACAACAUUUCGGUUGGCGCUGGGUCGUCACUGAAUCUCCGUCGGUAAAAGUAAACAGUGACAACUUUAAAGUCAUCAGUGAAUAGCGAGUUUUUUAUGACAAUAUAGGUCGUCAGUAAAGGCAGAAGUCGUCACUGAAUAAAACUUUUUUAUGACAACCUAUAUCAUCAGUAAAAGCUAUAAAUCUAGUGACAACAUUUUUUCUUGUCAAUGGUGCAUGAAGGAAACGGUAGUGAGGGUAUAUGGGAAUUAGUGACAACUUUGUUGUCAAUAAACCCCUUAUCAACUGUGACUACAGCCCCUUAUCAAUGGACAGUUUUGAUUGAGUGACAAUAACAAUUGUCAAUAAAGACUAUUCUGCCUGAAAAAAUACUAUUCAUUUACAGCACCUUACAUAUGAUUUUCCUACUACAAUAAUAUCUAAAAAAUGAAAAUAUCGGCAAUGUUUAAUAAAUAACAAACGUAGGCACCCGUUACAAUAGAAAAUGCCAGAAUAACAUAUUAAAUAUUCAAAUAUCAUAAAUAAGUGCAACAUCAUAGUACAAAUAUUUUCAUAAGUUUCAGUAGAACAAAUACUACUCAUAAGUCAAGGCUGCACUAAAAAACAUAUUCCAAGUCCCAAAACAUUUUCCGUGCUACCGAAACAUUUUCUAAACUUAAGACAGCACUAUAACCACAGUUUUUGGGUCGACAUGUAAGCCGUACUGCUAAUUUUCUUCGAAACCUCCAAAAUGAGCAAUAUAUCUGCAAUAAAGUAGUAAAGUUAUUAGUAGAUGAUAGAAAAAUUUAAAUGGUGCAUAGAAGACCUUGAAAUCUGAAUAUACAGGAUACAGGAUAGAAUACAAAAUAAAUGACUAACAGUACAAAAACAAAGUUCAUGGUCACAAAGAGAAAAUGCUUUUUAAGAUCAGUUAAGAGCAGUGCAUAAAAACACUAACGAGUUAUUAAAUAUUAUGUGUGUGUGUGGUUCUGGGAAUUUGGUUCAAAAGUUUUAGUAAACUUCCUCUCCUUCAUUUGGGCCGCAAAGCAGGAAUCAGUGCAAAUAAAGACAUCAGUAUAUCAGUUUAAGCUUCUUUAGAUGUCGAGGAAGUAAUUUACAUCAGAAUAGAGAAUAUGCCUGUAGCUAAUGUAUUUAAUUCCGGGAUUAAACACCAUAUCAUAUUCAUUAAUCAAUACCAACGUUAUUGUUCCAUAAGUUUAAAGUUCUUCUAGAUUUGUCCAAGCAGUAGCUUUAAAUCAUCAGUAAGUCAUGCAAACGUGUCAAGCUACAUAUGCGGCUACAGAAUUGACAGAGAAUUAUGAUUUAUGAAUGUUCUACUCAAACUCUUGCCAUGCGAGGGGGCGAAAAACACAAAAUUGCAAUUCGGACAACUCCAGCAAAAAUAAAAAUGAAAACAAACAUGUGAAAUAAAGUUAAAAUUCUAGUAGAUUAAACAAAUUAAACAAAUUAAACAAAUUCUAGUAGAUCCAGUGAAAAUGAAAAAGCAACGAAAUGUCUUCAUAGCAGAGAUAAUAUUGAUAUUAACACAAUAAAUUUAAGGGAAAAUAAAGGAGGGGGAGGAAAGAACUGAUAAACAAAAGUAGUACCGGUUGGACAAAAAUUUAAGGACGAAAUUGAAUUUAUUUUUCCCGCCACACAGACAAUGAUCACCAUAUCAGCUUAGUUAGCAACAUAGCCAGGGCCAGCUAAUCAAACCAGAAGUUUCAGGGAUGAGGAGGCAAAGUUUAAGCUGUGUAAGGUUCGAUCAGUACAGUUUGGACAGAAGGGCAUUCCAUACCUGAAUACCUAUGAUGGUCGUACCAUUCGUUACCCAGACCCACUCAUCAAGGCCAAUGACACCAUCAAACUUGACCUGGAGAACAACAAGAUUACUGAAUUCAUCAAGUUUGAUGUUGGGAAUGUUGUCAUGGUGACUGGGGGAAGGAACAGAGGUUGGGUUGGAGUACUCUAAAACAUGGUAGGUCCAUAUACUUGAUGUCAUCAUAAAAGUAUAUACACACAAGGCAGCUUGUAGUAUACGUACAUAAACAAGCUUGAAUAUAGGGAAGGGAAAAGGAGCAACCAGAAAGGAGAAAUCCUCAUUCCUCUAAAUGCUAGGCGAAGAAUCAUGUCAUGUUCUAAUUUUCAUACAUGACAAACAAAUUAUUUCAUUUUGUCUUCAUUAAUUACAUCUUGAUCAUCCAAAAAUUUCACUUCAUCCCCAAAUGGAACCAACCACAAAGUCACACAAAUGAAAAGCAUUAAGUUUUCAGGACACUCACAAGAAAUCACUUGCAUGAUAAUCAGCCUACCAUACAACUUAUGAUUAGAUUUUAAUAUUCUUUUACAACUCAGUCAAAUCAUUUUUGAGCUUCCUAUGGUGUGAAAGUGGUAGAAAAUCAGAUUGAUAACAAUAUUAGCAGUAAUGUAAGAUCUUUAACUCAAGGACCAAAGCCUUUGACACAUUGAUGCAUCACCAAAAAUGAGUGUGAACACGAUGGAGUCAACAACAAAAAAGAGUGAUAGGAAAAGGAAGCAAUAGAGAUGCUAGAAAAAGAAAAUGAGAAAGGGAGACAGUGGAAGAAUUUUCAUUAUUCUAUACAUAUAUACAUCUCAGCACAGCAGAGCAAAAUAUUCAUGCCAUUUGAACAUGGGACUCUAUAAAUCAUCCAUACAGAAGAAAAAAUAUGGAGUCGAACACUAAAUAGGGAUUACCACACUUAGUAGCUAAGGGAAGUUUAAAAAGAAGGAAAGUACAUUCUAAGAACAGUGAGAUCCUACUUUGGCUCUUCGACACUAAAAGCUUGACUCCAUGUGCCUCUAGCUAUAAAGUAUAUGAACUUUAAAAUAUGAACUAGUUUUCUUAACAUUACCACUCAACAAAAUAAACUAAGACUCAUAUAACAGGCUUUUAAUACCAUCAAGUACCAAUAACACGUUCCUUUAACUUGUAAAGAAUCCUAAAGAUCCUCAAGGGCUAUUCCUUCUGGUCUUGUAAUGGUAAAAAGGAUUUCUUGUAACAUGAAACACUUGACAAAUCCACUUCGGCUAAAGAAAGCAAGUGGUGCCCAUGAAAUAGAUGGAUACACCAAAUCUAAUGGAUGUUGCCAAUUCAUCAAAUGCAUGAUUGAUAAAGGGAAAAUUUUACGAGACAAAAGCUUUUUUGUCUAAUAUUUUACAUAUACUUUCACUGGUGGCUUGUGGGUUCUAAAAUUUAUUAUUGGGGAAAAUUGUUUUUGGUACAGAUUCAAUGCAUCCGUCAAGUAGAGAGAGCAAGAGGAAGACAGCUUACAUGGGCCAAAGCGUGCCCAAAAGAGGAUGGGGCAAUGGGCAAAAAUUGUGGGUUCUCCAACGUAUUACCCUUCCCAAAUGAUAUGAUGAUAAGAGCUUAUGAAUGAACAUUUAAAGCAACUUUUGUUUCUCUCUUGGUAACUCAGUCUUUCUGUUUUGACCCCCUUUUGACUCAUUUUCUUUGCCUGUUUCUUGGAGCAUGCAUGAACAAGGGAAAUCAAUGGGUCCCUAUCUAUUGAAUUGAAUGCAAAUUGGAUAUAGUCAUACUCCCAAUAUAGAUUGAGGAUCACACAUGCACACACAUACAUUUGCCCAGUAGGUGGAUUCUUGGGACAGAUUGGGAGUUAACUAAUAUGGGCAAGUUCAAGGAUCCAAACUACAAAAGUUUUAUCAUCAAUUCUUGGAGAUGGUGGAGUUUGUUAGCCAGUCAUGAACCUUAAUGUACAACUAUAAUAUAUUGCCCAGAAGGCAAAAAGUUGGGGAAUGCUGUUGAAUGCUGUUGUUCCUCGAAUUUAAUAAGGACAACCAUAAUGGUAAAAAGAAUUCAACCAAGAAUGAACAUUUUUCUAAAUUGGUCUUGUACCCUGCUCUACAUAUUUUAUUGUUUUUGCCAUUUCCUAUCAAUACAGUUCAUUUCUUUCACAAUUUUCCAAGAGCAAGCAUCCUUGAACUGUUGGGGAAAACUCAAAUUAUCACUUAGAGAACACUAGUUUGAUUAUUGCAUCUUUCAAACCUACAUUUACACAGGUCCUGGAAACAUUGACCUCAAAAACUAAAAGAAAAUCAAACUUUUAAACUAUCAAAGAAGUUGUGUUCAGAUGUUAUUCCUUUAGCUUCUCAUGUGGGUGGAAACAGCUCCUUCUCAUCCAUUUGAUGACAUCAUAAAAAAAUAGCAAAGACUUAAUUAUAUUAGCAUUCCCCAGCAUUCAAACGUGACACCUUUUCCUUUCACAAUGAUACACAUUGCUGGGAUAGAACUUUAAUGUAGGAAUGUUUAACUAUAAGCCCAAGGGGGAACAUAUAUACAAGAGAACCAGUCCCUACGGCUUGUCCAAGGGAAAAAAAAUUAGGACCAGAAAACGCAUUUUUGUCAAGGAAAGAAACGGUUAAAUUGAUUAGAAAUAAUGAUUGUAAUGUCAUGCAACAAUAAUUGUUCAUAACAAUAAGUGACAAUAUUUUUGUUUUAAAAAAUUAAAAAUUUGCAUGAAGGACAAAGUCUCAGUAAAACACAGAACGUGAUAAAAAUGCAUCAAUCGAAAUUUGUACAGCUGAAUAUCUGACUUACAAUUGAGAAUGCAGAGCACUCUGCAUUGCUGAUCACUAAGUCUACAACUACAAAUAUUAGUUUGGAUUGAGAGGUGACUUUUCAGGAUGGUUGAUGAAUAAAGGAUUUUCGAGUCGUGGAUUUCCAUCAGGUACAUAAAACUCAGCAGCGGUGGUACGGUCAGGAAUGCCAAUUUCCCAAAAUUUUGGACCAUUUCUAGGAGGCGUAAAUACGAAUUCAAUCUGCACCAUUUUUAUUAUUAAUAGAACCCAUUUCUUUGCGUACACAAAACAUAAUUCUUUUUAUGAAAGUUAAUGUAUCUACUAAAACGGAAUUAGCAUACUAUACUAGGCAAUUUGUUUGUUUCAUUUUUCAGUUCCCAAGAACAUGAAAUCUAAUUUAGUGGGCCUGAAAAGUCAGUAAUUGGUUCUUGGUAAAACUAUCCUCACCCCCAACCUUCCUAUUCUCGUAACCACCUUUCUAUCAUACCGUAUCUUCCAAAUUCAGUCACCUAUUUGUAUGCUUUGAGUGUUUGGUGUCUCUAUAAGGGAUCCCGUGUUCUAUUUAUGUGUAAUGGUGUCUAAUAAGUGAUUGAGUUUUCUAUGGGUGUGUGACUGCACAUCCAUGUCCAAAACCCACAAGCAAGCAUAUUCCAAAAGGAGGAGAUGCCGCCAUCCAUAAAUCAAAUGAAACCCAAAAAACUGGACUGAAAUUUUUGGCAAAAAAAUUAAUUAGGGCAAACCAUUUGGGGAAAAUUAGGGAGGCAAAAGAGAAUCAGCAUACCUUUUUUUGUAGAGAGUUGCUGCUAAAUGUGGUCUUCUAUUUCAUCAUUUCCGAGCCAAGAUCGAUUAGCAGAUGGCGAGGAGAUGUUUCUUGGUUCUCGGCGAGGAGAUGUUUCCGGCAGAGAUGAGCAGUGUGUUUUUUGGUUCUCGGCAGAGAUGAGGAGCUGUGUGUUUUUUGGUUCUAAGUGUUGCUUGUUGGCUGUUGGCUCAUGGCUGGUAGUAGUGUUUUGUUCGGUGAAUGACUAAACAUGACCGCGAGUUGUUGGUUUCACUAAGUGUUCAAGACUUCAAGUCAAUUCCGCGCUUCUCCUCCAACUAUUGACUUUGAAUGAAAUUUCAAUUUCUUACAUUUCCCCCCUGCUCGUACCAAAAUUUCAACCCAAGUUUUUUAGUUUUGAAUUAAUAUUUUACUAAUAUAUUAUUACUUGCAACUUUUAAAUAUUUUUGUAAAAAUAUUCAUAAUAGGUAAUUUUUUUAUGACAUCAAACAGUUGAUCCCAUAUUAAUAUUGAUAUCACUUUCUCAAAAUUGUAACUAAAUUACAACUUACUUAUCUUUCUUUUCAUUAUUUUUCCCAAAACUCCAGAAUUUUUUUUUUUUAUAAUAAGGAGAGAUGAUUUGUUUCAAAUGGUUAAUUUCACUUCAAAUUAUUGCACUAAUAUUAAUUUACAUGACAAAAUUUGAGUUCCUAAUAGUUAAAAAAAUCAUUAGAGAGCAAAAACAAAAUAACAAUUGGUUGUCACUAAUGACCAAAUUUCUUGUAAUAGAUUUGCAAGAUAUAGAUUUAUGGGUAAUUUCUUUUUUUUUUUUGCUUUCACAUAUUUAAUUUAUGUUAAAUACAAAACCUACCAGUUUCCCUUUUAUAAAAAUAUUAGUGCAACACUUUUUGAAUUUUACUUACAAACAUUUAUGUAUUUAACAUAAAUUAAAUGAUUCAGAGUGAAAUGCCCAUAAAGAGCAGAAUAUUUGUUCAUGUAAUGGAGGAAACCCACAAAGAGUUGGUACUUUAUGGGCCAUUUCUUUUUUUAAAAAAAAUUAAUUUAUGUUGAAAAGAUAACCUGCCAGUUUUCGUUUUGUAAGAAAUCAGUUUAACACUUUUUGAAUUUUACUUACAAACAUUUAUAAAUUUAUCAUAAAUUAUAUGUUUGAGAGUAAAAUGCCCAUAAAAAGUUGGUACUUUGAAUAGAUAAUGUUCAUUUGCCCAUAAACUACACUCCCUGAAGGCUAUUUUGUUAAUUACUUUGUAGUACUUUGUUAUUCCUUUGCUAAUACUACUUGGCAUGUAGUACAAAGGAUAAAUCUGGCAUAAAUUUCUUAUUCCAUUGAUAAAAAGACCUGCCUGCCUUAUAACUAUUGUAAUGAAAGAUAUAUCUUUAGAGUUUAUAACAAAUUAUUACUUAAGUUUGAGAAAAUUAUAAAAUAUUUAUGCAUAGUUUAUCAAGAUACCAUUCGCAAUUUCCUAAUAAAAAAAUAGGGGCUAAAUUGUAAAAGUAGGGUGCCAUAAUAGAAAUAAUAAAAUUGGUGUAUUACAUAUGGGGGUUAAAUUGCAAAAGUUAGAGUGCCAUAGUAGAAUUAAUGAAAUUGGUGAAUUACAUAUGGGGCUAAAUUACAAAAGUUAGGGAGUAAUAACAGAAUUAAAGAAAUCGGUGUACUACAUAUGGGGCUAAAUUGUAAAAGUUAAGGUAUCAUAAUGGAAUUAAUGAAAUUUUUUACAACAUUUGGGGCUAAAUCGCAAAAGUUAGGGUGGCACAGUAGAAUUAAUGAAAGUGACUUAGAAAUAAGUACUUUAAACAGUGACGAUUAAUUCUUGUCACUAAAUCCGAAUCGGUAGAGUGACAGUGACGAUAUUAGAAGUUGUCACUAUAUAGAUCAUUUUAGUGACAACAUUUUUCAAGGUCGUCAAUGAAGACUAGUUGCUUUGAGCAAUUAUGACAACUUUCCUUGUCGUCACUAACAACCACGUUUUAUGACGACUUUUGUCGUCACUAAACAAUGUUGUCACUAAUGACAUAUUUCUUGCAGUGUAGUUUGUGACGAAAAUAACGGGUCGUCACUAAAUUUAGUUGCUUUGAUGCAAUUGUGACAACUUUAGGUGUCGCGACUAAAGAAUCCCCUUUUAUGACGACUUAUUGUCAUCACUACAAAAUGUUGUCACUAAUAAACUUUUUUUUAGUGAUCAGUGACGACAACAAAAAGUCGUCCAUAAAUAGGCCAAGCAAUAGUGAUGAUGUUCUUAAUGUCGUCACUAUUGUGUGUUCUAAACACUCCCGCGCUCUUGCUAAAUCUUGGCAGGAAUUUACUAGUGACGAGUUGGCCUCCAUUAGAGGUUUGUGACGAGUUAGAAAGUCGUCAAUAAAGGAUCAACUUUUGUGACAACUUUUUUUCGUCACAGAGAAAAGUUGUCACUGAUGACCAAUUUUCUUGUAGUGGGACGUCCGAUACUCCAACGGCUAGUUGAAUCUUCAACUACUUUGUAUCCGUUGGAAGCAUUAAUGAAGCACUUUCUUAGUCUCCUAUAAAUAGAACAUGAUCAGAAACUUCAAAUAACUUUUGCAUAUUGAAGAUACAAAAGAUCUAGAGUAGUUUUAGUAAGAAAACACUCUCCAAAGAAGAUUUGUAGUCUUUGUGGUGUGAAGUUCAUUGUAAACUUUUCAUUUUGUGAGUGAAUACUUCAAUAGUGUAAUUCUGUGAGGGUUGUCCUAAGGGAUAGUAAAACUUCCUUGAUUGACCGAGUAGAGCUUGGGGUAAGGAGGAAGUGAACCUUCCUUUAUACACAAGAUUAGUUAUAUUUCAUCAACUUGAAGAAACUUACUCUAUAAAUUGAUCUACAAGCUCAAGAGGAGUUUGGUAGUCAAUUAGUUUGCAAUUCUUCCUUUCUUAUUUACUUAUUGUUAUAUUGUGAUCUUUUAAUUACUUAUCUCUUCUACUCCCAAGCAAUCGUGCUUUCUUACUAAUUGCUACAUUGUGUGGUCAGUCAGAAAAGCGGAUAAAUUUCAUUUUGAGCAAAAAGUGCCUAUAACUUGAUUAGCUUUUUAAUCAACCUAAUUCACCCCUCUUAGGUUGUCUUCGAUCCUAAUAAUUGGUAUCAGAGCUUGGUUUCCUUGAGAUUAAACUCAAUCGAUUUAGGAGUAAAAAUGACAACUAAUAAUGCCAUGUUUUUGAAGGACAUUCUAUCAUUAGACCACCUAUGUUUAAUGGGUCAAAUUAUGUGAGUUGGAAAGAAAGAAUAAUUAUCUUUUGCAAUCAAUUGAUAUUGAAUUGUGGUUUAUUAUUAGUGAAGGUCCAUAUGAUACCUCUCUUAUAGAUGAAAAUAUUCAUAGAUCUAGACAAAAAAUAAGAAGUGAACUGACUGCUAUGGAUAGAGCUCAUCUCACCUUAAAUGCAAAAGUCAUGAAUGUUUAUAUUGUGCUCUAGACUCAAAUGAAUCUAUUAGAGUCAAGGAUUGCAAGUCAGCUAAAGAAAUUUGGGACAAAUUGAAAGAAAUUCAUGAAGGUAGUGAGAAUGUUAGAGAACAAAAGAAAUCUAUCUUAGUUACUAAAUAUGAGUCGUUUAAGAUAGAGCCUCAUGAAAAUAUUGAUCAAAUGUAUUGUAGAAUCAAUGAUCUCAUUAAUGAUUUAGAAGUGUUGGAAAAAGAAUACUCUCUAUGUGAGAAAAAUAGAAAAAUCCUGAAUGCCUUGUCCAAAAAUUGGGAAAAGAAAGUGACUGCUAUUGAAGAGGCUAAAGAUUUGAAUACUAUGCCUAUUGAAUCACUUAUUAAUUCUUUGACCUCUUAUGAACUAAAACUUAAGACUAAGGUACAAGAGCAAGAAGAUGCAAAGGUAAAAAGGAGCAUUGCUCUAAAAUCAACUCAAGAUAAAGAUGAUUCGGCCUCCUUGGAUGGAGAAGAUGUGGAAGUUGAUGAUAGUGAUCUUGCUCUCAUCACAAGAAGUUUAAAAGGAUUCUCAACAAAAGGAGAUUUAGAAGAAGAGGACCUAACAAUUCAGAUUCUAAUCAAUUCAAUAAUGCAAGAAACAAAGGAAGAUAUGAGACCAACAAAAAGUAAGGUGACAAAUGCUAUGAGCAUGGCUAACUUGGAUACUAUAUGAGUGAGUGUCCAAUGAAGAAGAGGAACGGUGAGAGAAAACCAAGAUUCAACAAUUUCCAGUUCACAUGGAAUGGAUGCAACUCCGAUGGUGAAAUUGAAGAGGAAGAUGAAUCUGCUCAAUUGGCUUUCAUGGCCAUUGGACAUGAUGAGGUAACAAUUUGUAACUCUCAAUUUGAUAGUGAUGAUGAAACUGAUGAUGAUCUUGAAUCUUUCAUUAAAAAGUUGCAUGAUAGUUUGAAAGAAUCUUAUACUAGAAACAAGGAAUUAAAACACAAAAUUAAUUUUUUUCUUCAUGAUAAUACACGCCUUAUUCAAGAAAACAAGAUGUUGAAAACUGAAAAUGAUUUCUUGAAAAAGAAUGAGAUUGAUUUACAAAAUAAGUUUGAUAGAAAAACAAGGUUUUGUGAAAUAUUUAAAAAGGAGCAAGGUGAUUUGAAAAGAAAAAUGAAUAAUUUAAAUGAAUUGCUCCAACAUAAAAAAUAAAACUGUUUUCAAGGAAAUGAAACAAAAACUCAUUUUGGCACUCAUGAGAAGAAAUUAAAUUCUGGCGCAAAUAAUUUUGUAAGAUUUAUUAAACCUGGUCUUGCAAAUAACUCUUUGGUUAUGUGUAAUUUUGUUGUCAAAAAGGUUACAUGAAAAAUGAUUGCUAUGUGAGGAAAAACAUAAGAAGAGGCAUGAAAUGCAUAUAGAUAGUUAGACAUGAUACUAACUCUCAAUCACCCAAAAAUUAAAGAGUACCAAAUAUUAGUUCUUGAACUCUUGAGUAGGUGAACCUGGUGAACAUCAUUAAGGAAUCAAAAUAGUUCGUAGACAGUUGGUACUCAAGACACAUGACCAGUGAUCCAUCACAUUCAUCAAAUUCAAGCCAAAAUCAAGUGGCAAAGUGACAUUUGGAGAUGAUAUAAAAGCAAAAAAUUAGAGUAAGAGAUAUUGGUAAGAAUGAUCAGAUUUUUGUUCAUAACGUUCUUUUGUAAUUUUUUUAAUAUUUUUGAUAUUUUGAACUGAGUUUCCCUUGAUUUUUUUAAUAAUUAAUGGAUUUCGGUUGAUAUGAAUAUGGGUAUGAAUGUUGGUUUCAUUGAUGUUCAUUGUUAUUUUUUGGUCUCUUUUGAUGUGAUUUUUUGUUAUUGACUCAUGAUGGUUGCAGCUAAUGUUCUUUUUAUGGCAAUUACUCUCUACUUUUAUGAUGACAAAACGGGGGAGAAAUUAUAAAAUAGAUGUGGUUUGGGAUGCUAUUAGUAAGGGGAGUUCAUUUGAUACUGGUUUUGGGAUGCUAUGAGUAAGGGGGAGUUUCUCGUCAUUUUCUUUCCUUCCAUCCAUUGUUUUGUCAUCAUCAAAAAGGGGAAGAAUGUUGAUCUUGAUCUCUACCUUUUGAUAUUUACAAAACAAUGAAUAAUACUAAUAUCUCUUUAAGAAAUAUUUUUAGUUAUGAAGCAAAUCAGAUUCAAAUAUCAAGUGCAAAUGAAAGGGACAAAGGCUGUUGAAAGCUGUCGGACGCUUGGUUCGGACGUCCGAUAAUCAUUGCGCAACUUCAGACGCAUGAAGAACUCCACUACCGGACGCCCAAAGGAAAUAAUACAUUCCCCUUAACUCACUGACCUCGAUCGAACGCAAGUAUCGGACAUCCGAUAGGAUAGUUCAAAUUCGACGAAAGCUGUCGAACGCUCACAAAGACAAUACCGGACGUCUGAUAGAAUGGAAGAAGAUUUUUCAAACACACUGCCUACUAUCGGACGCAAGAAACUAGACUACCGGACGUCCGAUACUGCAGUGGCUAGUUGACUCUUCAAUUACUUUCUAUCUAUUGGAAGCAUUAAUGAAGCACUUUCUUGGUAUCCUAUAAAUAGAGUAUGAGAACCGUGAAUUUUCUUAUUUUCUAGGCUUUAUUUUAUUUGAUUACAUGCCUUUUAUGCAUUUUCUUUAUUAGGAAAAAAAAUUUCUAAAUAAUUUUAUGAGUAAAUAGGGUUUUUAAAUUAUCUUUCUAGUAUAAGUUAGUUCAUGCGGUUUUAAGAGUAUAUACCGGAUGUGGGACCCACUAGUACGUUAACUGCGGUUAAUUCGGCCAAUUAGGUUAAGUUUUGCAUUAAGGGAUUCAUUUACCACAUGUUAGGAGAUAAUUGGAAAUUAGUUAGAUUAAUUUGUAAGGAGAGACAAAAGGAUGAGAUCAAGCAUAGGAAUGGACAAGUGUCAAGUAACUAUUGGAGGAUGACUUUGACCUACUAUUCAUCACCUUUACUAAAUACCAAAAAUUGACCAAAAUCAUCUUCAUUCUUCUAGCAUCUUGGCUGAAUUCUUGAGGAGGAAAAACAAGAAGAAAGCCUUCAACUCCAACUCCAUUUUCUUGCUCAAUCUUGUGAAUCAACCGUUAAAAUUCCAAAUUCCUCCAUAAAAGUCACUUGCUUAGGAAGAUUGAAGGUAGUGGUGGAGUGAUUAGAGAAGGGAAAGGACUAAGCCAUCACCUUUCUUGAGAUUUCAAGGUAUCAUGUCUAGCAAUCCAUUCUUUGUUCUUAAUAAUGGUUUAUUAGUGACUUGUGUUGGCUUAAAAGGUGAUUUUGUGGAAGAUUUCAUGUUUUUUGGUAGAGAUUGAUGAAUUUCUGAUUUUUACAUGAUUUUUUUGAUUUCAUAUGUUUAGUGUUGGUUAGUCAUGGAUUGAUGGUUUGUUAUAGUGUAAAAUGGAGUUGGUAUAUGUUGGAAAUGAUUGGUUGUGUAAAAUUUCUGGUUUGAUACGAAAUUCCAGAUUAGGCUUUCAAUUAACCCCUGUUCUGUCCGAUUUUGUUCGGCUAGGUUGGAGGCCGAAUUAGUCUUAGAUUAAAACAUGAAAGUUGUAGAAAAUGGUGUUAACUAGCUUCCGGUAAAAUUUCAACUCUAUCCAAGCACUGUAGUAUGUAAAAUGACUGAAAUACCCUUGACUGCCCAUGAGCCCUAUUUCGCGCCUAGAUUUCUGUUUUCGUGGAUUUUUCCAUUUCUGACCCUGAAAAUGCAUGAUUUGGCUUUGGAGGUCUUCAUAAGAAAUGUAGGUAUAUGUCUUAGCUUCGAAACCCCAUAAGAUACACCUCAAUUGGACUUUGGUACCCUGAGCUAUGGUCGUUUUACCAUAAUGCAGUUAGCUAACCUAUUUUUGCGAUUCUUGUUUGGUAUAUUGCAAUUUUGACCUAGCUAUACUAUGAACUGGACUGAGUGGUCAUCAUCAAAGUUGUAGGCCUUUGUCUUAAUUCAAAAUGGUAUAAAUUUCAUUCCCAUCCGAUAAGUGUAGCCUCAGUUGUGUCCGUUACGCAUAACAAUGUCAAAUCUGUCUUUUGUUUUUGACUUAAACUUCAUUUCCGAACAUUGUCCUAGCUUGAAUUUGUACUUGUACCACUUUGAGCCUAUUGAAUGGCUAUUGAAAUGAGAUUAUUUUGUGUGUGAUUUUGGGAUUGAUUGAGGAAAAUAAUGAAGUCAUAAAUGGCUGGAAAAUAGGUAAAUACAGAGGGCAUGCUGCCCAAAAUUUUAGGGCUACGCGAUUCUUUCAAGUUGAACUGAUCUUGGUAAAAAUGAUGGGUUUUGGGAGUUGUUUGUAACCAUAGAACCAGCUAUUAUCCUUUUUGCUCAAAAGCCAUAUUUUAUUCUUUUGUACUAGUACUUAACCUGGAAAGGCGUAUGACAUGUAGUCGAGCCUCAUUUAUGCAUUCCAUUUACUGGAUUUGUGAUUGUGGGUGUGAGAACCCGUAAAACCCUAAUAUUUUUCCUAGGGUUUAUUUCCCCUUAAUUGCAUGUUUUCUGCAUUUUCUGGCUUAGAAAUAAUUUCCUGGUGAAUUUUAUGAGCAAUUAUAGUUUUAAGAUGAUUUUUCUAGCAUUGGAGAAAUUUUAGGAAGUUAAGAGUAAAUAGUGGACGUGGGACCCACUAGUGCGAAAAGUUCGGAAAAAUUCGGCCAAUUAGGUUAAAUUUCGGAUACUGUGUAAAAUUUAUCGGGUGUUAAGAGAUAAGUAGGGUGUGUGAAGUGAUUGAUGUGAGAGAGAAAAGAAAGAUAAGAAUGCAUUUAAUGAGGUGACAAGUGUCAUCUUCUCAUUGGUUGGACUUUAAGAAACACUAUUCAUUUUCUUGACUUUUUUGACCAAAGGAUUAAAUAUCAAAAAUUGCACAAAAUUCAUCAUUUUUCUCCUCCUUAUGGCCGGCCCUCUCUAAGCAAGAAGAAAGACAAAACUCUUCAACAUUCUAGCAAACUUCUAGCUCAAAUCAACUAAACCACUUGCUUAACUUAGUUUUCACUCCAUAAAAUUCUUCCUUCUAGUGCUAGUAAGUUGUUUGGUGAACUUUGUUUGAAGGACUAAGGUGCACAACAUCUUCCUCUCUCUUGGUUUUUGGUAAGUGAAGCUUGAAACAUCCUACUACACCUAAUGAUGCUUAUGUUGUGCUUAUUAGUGAUAAGAGUGCUGAAAUUUCUGGUUUUUAUCUUGGUUUGAAUUGAUUUGGUGAAGUUUUCCAUUUUAUGAUGAUUUUUCUGGUUUAAUUGGAUUAUGAUGGUGUGGUUGUUUGUGAUGAUUGGCAAUGGACUAUAAUGGCUCUAGUGGAUGUGAAAUGUGGAUAAAUGCAACCAAUUUUGGAUUUGGUGUGAAAAUUGAAAAGCUAGGGUUCUUAAAUCCCCAAUUCUGUCCGGUUUUGGAUCAUAGGGAUAGAGGCCGAAUUUGACUUUGUUCAAAACAUGAAUGUUGUAGGUAUUGAUGUGAUUGAGAUGUCUACAAAAUUUCAGGUCAUUUGGAUUAAUGUAGAAUGAGUUAUGACGAAAUUACUGUAGCUGUUCUGCUUUGGACAGAAUGCGAAAAUGGCGAUAGUAAUUGGCCAUUUUGACUGGAAUUGGUUUGGAUUUUGGAGUUGGUGUCUUCUGAUGAAAUGUAGCUGGAUGUCUUAGCUAACUUAUGCCUUUGGAAUUUCGGCAUUUGGACUUGUAUGGACUGAAAUAUACCGAUUACAGUUUUCUGUGUUUUGCAAACCUGUUUUGGUAAUUCUGGUAUAGUAUUUGGCAUUUUUGACCUAGUUAAGCUAGGAACUGGACUGAGUGACCUUCUACAUUGUUGUAGCCCUGAUUCAUAGCUUCGAAACGGUGGGUCUUACACCCCCAUCCGAUAACCGUAGUGAAAUUGACGCCAUUACCGCAUAAUGAGUGCAAAACAGUUUUUCAAGUCGGGGCCAAGACUAAUGCUCUUUUAAAUUUCUGAUUUGCUAUCAUGUUCAUUUAUGCAUAUAAAACCCUAUUGGGGUUGUGUUUAGUAUUGUUUGGUGACUCGUUCUCGAGUCUUAUUGUAUGUGUUACAUGUUUUAGGGCGUGACGGUAGCUCACGACGUCUUGGUGACCACGGUAUAUGAAACACCACUUUCUUGCUUGGUGAGUAUACUACUCACUUAAUUGUUACAAUGUGGCUUUGUUAUAUAUGAAUUUGAAGCCUUGAAGGCUUACUUGGCUAUUGGAAUUGAUAUAGGUGAGGGUGUACUUGAUCGCCCUCACCCCUUGUGAUUUCAUUCAUGACUGUCUACUGUUAUACUGAAAUACUGCACUGGCUAUAUGAGUUAUUGAAUUGCAAUCCUGGAAAACUGAUUUGGUGUUGUUUGGACGAUGUCCAACGACCUCACUGUAUUACUGAGCUCAACCUCGUUUGGUGGUCAUUUGGAUCGAGCCGGCAAGGGCUUGGUCGUGAUACGUGACAUACCACGGGACUGUACUGAGGAACCUUGUAGUAAUGAGACUCUCGGUUCCGGUAUACUCGAGUAUUACCAAAAGCUACUGAAUUGGAGUGCGGGCCCGGUUGGGGUAUGUUUGGUGGAAGGAAUGGAGUGAAGUGAGGUCUACGGUCGGGUAUUCUUAAACAUUGACGGAGGGUCAAUGAGAUUGGAUCAAGAAUGUAAACGUGGAAAUGGGCUCUUGAGAGCCGUCCGUAUCCUUUCACUGUUUGAUUACUUCUUAUUUGCAUACUUGAACUGAACGGUUAUGCUUAUGUGAUCUUAGCUGCUAUGGUGGUUGUAUUCUCACUGGGCAUAUAGCUCACCCCGUUUCUUUUGUUUUCCUUACAGGAAUGUGCCCCUUUUGGAAUGAAUUUUGUUAAAUGGUUGCCGAAUGAACUAGAUGAAUGCUUCUUUUGUGUUGUAUAUAAAAUGGGACCCUAAAUGUAUCAUUAGGGCCGUUUUCACUUUUGUUUUGGCAACCCACAUAUGUAGUGACUUUUGUAUCACUUUUAAAUGCCAUUGUGGCUUGUAAAUGGUUAAUGUUAUGUUGUAUAUGUAUUUCAAUGUUUGGUUGGGUUUCGGACGGGUCGGUUACUAUUCAUGACCGACUCUGGAUUUCAUUUCUUUUAUUUUGGGUUAUUUGCCCUUUUGCCUUGUUUGCGCACAUUAUAAGUUUCAAAACGUGAUAGAUCGCUUUAUACUGCACCGUUAGUCCUGGCGAGAGCUGGGCAGGCAGUCCGCUAACCCCUUUGGUUCGCCUUAGGGGAAAGUGGGGCUGUCACAGUGGGAACCAUAAUUGUUUACCUUGGUUAUUCUAGGGUUUCUUGGUGAUUAGAGCCUUACCUUGGUUGAAACUUUUGACGUAUCCUUGCUUUAACUGGUGAGUGCACCACUCCCCUGAAUUAUUGCUAAACUGGUUUUUUGUAUUUGUAAAUUGCUAUUUGAAUGUCUUUCCUGACUGUUUAUCUUGUAUGAGACGAGGGUGUACUUUAUCACACUCGUUCUCUUGCCUGUACUGAACGAACUAGAAUCUAUUACUUGUACUUGUUAUGUACUUGAACUUGUUACUUGCACUUGUUAUGAGAUUGUUUGGAAGUGUGUCCAACGAUCUUCCUGUUAAACUUGAGUUCAACCUCAUGGGGAGUUAAUUAAAUCGAGCCAGCAAGAGCUUGGUCGAGAUAAUUGACAAUCCAUGGGUACUUGUUCCUAGGGAAUCUUUGGGUAUUGAGACUCUUGAUUCCGAUAUACUCAAGUAUUACCAUUUCUGUUCCUGUUUGGCGUUCGGGCCCGGUAAGGGGUAUGUUUGGUGAAUGGAAAUUUGGCGUUAAAGUGGUGUUCUACUGGACUGGUUUCUUUAUUUGAAUAUUGACGGAGGGUCAACGAGGCUGGAUCAACUAUUGCAACGGGGAUUUGGCUCCUGAGAGCCACCUGUAUCCUUUAAAUUGUGAUGUUCGUUCAUUUCUUUUACGUGAUGUGUAUAUGUGUCCUAUAAGUGUUUUCUCAUGAUUUCUACUGUUAUACUUUUGGUACCUCAUUGAGCUUCUAGCUCACCCCGUUCCGUUAUCCUUGUUUUCCUUACAGGGAAUCACCUUUUGGAGACUAUGAUGUUUUGAAGCAUGAGUUGAGCUAGUUUUAAUAUUUUUUUGUAUAGCUCCUCGAUGGUUGGAAAACCAUAAAUGUAUUUUAAUCAAACAAUUCCCUUUUGAAUUGUAAAUUUGCAACCAUGUGUAUAUAAAAGUGUUUAACCAUGUUCAUGAGUUGAUUUGGUUUGGAAAUGUUCUUUUCUAGGGUUAUAUAAAGUUGUUGUGCUUGUUUGGGUUUUCGGAUAGUGAAUGUUAUCUUCUCGAAAUUCUUUUGAGCGGUUGGUAGGGUUUACGUUUGUUCCGGAUCCGCAGUCCCGGCGAGAGUUGGGCAGGCGGUCCGCCGAACCCUUUGGUUCGCCUUAGGGGGAGGUGGGGCUGUCACAUAGAGCAUGGUCAAAAACUUCAAAUAACUUUUGCACAUUGAAGAUACAAAAGAUCUAGAGUAGUUUUUAGUAGAAAACACUCUCCAAAGAAGAUUUGUAGUUUUGGUGAUGUGAAGUUCAUUGUAAGCUUUUUAUUUUGUGAGUGAAUACUUCAAUAGUGUAGCUCUGUGAGAGUUUCCUGAGGGAUAAUUAAAACUUCCUUGCUUGACCAAGUGGUGCUUGGGUAAGGAGGAAGUGAACCUUUUUUGUACACAAGAUUGGUUGUACUUCAUCAACUUGAAGAAACUUAUUUUAUAAAUUGAUCUAUAAGCUCAAGAGGAGUUUGGUAGUCAAUUGGUUUGCAAUUCUUCCUUUCUUAUUUACUUAUUAUUAUAUUGUGAUCUUUUAAUUGCUUAUCUCUUCUUUUCCUCAAAACAAUCCCAAACAAUAGUGCUUUCUUACUAAUUGCUACAUUGUGUGGUCAGUUAGAAAAGAGGAUAAAUUUCAUUUUGAGCAAAAAGUGCCCAUAACUUGAUUAGCUUUUUAAUCAACCUAAUUCACCCCCUCUUAGGUUGUCUUCGAUCUUAACACAUCACUUGAAUUUUUAAUAAGCCAAGUUUUAUAAAUUUUUGAUAUUUAUAACUCAAAUUAUGAUUUUUCCAAAGGAAUGACAUAAGUUAGAGUUUUUUUUGUGCAUACUAGGGUUUUUAGUCUGUUUUGGUACAUUUUGGUAGUGUGAUCACUUGGUGAAGUGUGUGUACCAAAUUUGAUGAAUAAGAAUGAGUAUUAGGUAAGAAAAGUGUGUGAUUAGAAGUGUUAAUAAUAAGUGAGUGAACCAUAAGUAAAAACAUAAGUACGCGCGAGUUAGAGAAAAACGGUUCGAACAGACUUGCACCGUUUAUUACUGAAUGAGUAUACCACUUGAAUACUACUGUAUUAUCUUAAUCUCCUUGUUAUUAACUGAGCAAAAUCAGCCCUAAAUAUCUCCUUAAACCAACCGAAAUUAUUGAUCAAAAUAAGAGAGAGAAAACAAAUUUUGAAAUUUCAUCUUGGAGUGACAAGUGGCAACCAUCCAAUGGUUGUUUGACCAAGCAAUUUUCUUUCCUUAUUAUCUUUUUCUUGGCUCCAUUUUCUUCAAUUCUUUACCUUGUUGGCCGAAUUCAUAGAGAGAGGAAAACAAGAGAGCAAAGUUCAUCUUCAACUCCAACUUCAUGCUUGAAUCUUGAGUUUUAACCAACCAAAUUUCAAACCACUCCAUAAAGUGCUAACUAAGAGAGAUUCCAAGGUUUUGGUGGAGUGAUAUGGGAAAAUAAAGGUCUUGGCAGCCCCUUUUCAUAGGGUUUAAGGUAACCUUGGCUAGCAACUUUCUUCUACUUCAAAUAUGUGCAAACUAGUAGUUUAAGAUUUUAAUUUUUGGUAGUUUUGUGAGAAAAUUUAAUGGGUUGAAGUAGUAUUGUGGUAAAUUUCAGUUUUAUGAUGAAUUUUCUGCCUUUAUAUGAUGCUUAGUGAUUGACCAUGGUUUAAAUAACUUUGCCAUGUGUAAUAUUGAGGAAUUAUAUGCUAGUUUGACUUACCUAAGGAAUUUCCAGCUUAUGUGCACAAAUUCCAGCUUUAAGGAUUGAAACUGCCCUGUUCUUACCAGCUUCAUUCGUCCAUGUUAGAGGCCGGAUUAAGCUUAGGUUAAAACAUAAAAGUUGUAGGACAUGAUGUUAUAUAGCUGCCUGUAAAAUUUCAGUUCAAUCCGAGCAUUGUAGCAUGUGAAAUAAGAAAAAUACCCUUGACUGCCAAAUGUAUAGUUUUUCGGACAGUUUUGAGAUUACACAAUUCUGGCUUUGUUUUCAUUUUAAUCCGUAUUAAAUCAGUAUUUGGCCAAAACAAGAAAGUUUUAGCCCCAUGUUUUACCUUUCUGACGCAUCUGAAAACGCUUUAAUCGGAAUUGUGUAGCUUGAGUUAUUACUGUUUGAAUCCAGUGCUGACAAACAGACUGACCAUGAACUUCUGGUUCUGUAAUCUGCAAAUUCGACCUCGAUAAACUAUGAACUGGGUUGAGUUAUCUUCAUAAAAGUUGUAACCAUUUAUCUUAGCUUCGACAUGGUGUAAAGUGCACCUCAAAUCUAAUAAACAUAGCUCUAGUUGUGACCAAAAUGCUAUAAAAUGUCAAAUAUGCUGUUUAGCGUUUGUUUUCAAAACUGAUUUCCCAUUAUCUUAUUUGACUUGUGUUGUAAUUGAAUGAUGUUGGAGCCUAUUGAAGGGCUAUGUUGGUAGCAUUACUUGUGUGUGAUUGUGGGACUGAAUUCAGAAAAAUAAUGAAGCCGUAAAUGGCUUCUAAAUAGGUAAAUACAAAGGGCGUGUUGCACAAAUUUUCAUUCGAGAGUUAGGCAUAUGUUCCUGCGACUUGAGCGACGAUUUGAGGUCAAGUUGGACUUGGAUCACUUAUGAUAUUCGGGUUUUCUUUAGUCAGGGUAUAUAAGCUAAAAUUUGGCAGAACUUGUACCCUUGAAAAGUGAAAGUAGCGACCCUUUCAAAAUAUGAUUUUCCCGGUCUUUGAUACCUAGUGUAACUUCUAAAGUCGAAACCACUUCUUGAUCAUAACUAAACAAGCAAACAUGAAUUUUUUGAAAUUUGUUAAGUAUCUUGAAUACUACUUAAAUGAGUUGCAUUUGCUUGAUUUUCUUGAAGCAAAACUCCUAUGUUUCGAACUCUAGAGAGUUUUACAUUCGUAAAUGAUAUUUUAUCACAAAUUUGGACUCCAAUUAAGGAGUUGGAUUUGAACGUGAUUUUUGAAAGGCCCUAGACAUUGGGUGAGUGCUUCCAAAUACUUGAUUGAACUUGACACUUGUUUUCAAUACUUGACCAAUGUGAUCGAAUGAUAUGUGAUUAGCAGGGUCGGGCAAGGGUGUACUUUAUCACAUUGGGUAUGCUUUUAUGUUGAUUUAGUCGAUUGGAGAUGUUAUCUCAUCAAAUUCUUGGGAACCUAAACCUCACUAGCAAGUUAAUCGAGUCGAGCCGGUAAGGGCUUGGUCGAUUAAAUAACGAACCAUGGGUAUCUAGUAUUGUCGAGUGGAGUGUUAUCUUCUCGACUAAUGGGUAUACUUGAGAAUUACCACCAGUGUUUAUCGUGGAGUUCGGACCCGGUAAGGGUUUGGAUGGUAGAUGGAGAUUGGAGUUAAGUGGUGUACUCCUGGACUAGUUACUUUACUUGAAAGUUGAUGGAAUGUCAACUAAUACUUGAUCAAGCUCUGGUGAAGAAAUGGAAAUUUGGCUCCUGAGAGCCAUCUAUAUCCUUAUACAUUGAUUGUUAUUCGAAGUGUUAUUGUUCUUUUCGAAAACAAAAGAGUUUUCAAUUGCUCAUUUUGACAUCUGCUAUUUGAAGUGUUGUUGCUCACUUUCAUGAACUUGUUAUGCUCGGUAUUUUGCUACGCGAUAUUUGCACUUUUCAAUAAUGGUCAACUUGCUAUUUGGAACCUCACUGAACUUUUAGUUCAUUCCAUGCCAUUUGUUUUCCUUACAAGGGGUACGAGCGAGACGUAAGACUGAUACAAGCUAGCAUAGUCUAGUUUUUGGAAAUUUUGCGAUUGUAAUCGCACUAGUCACUCAAUUAGGGUUGAAUGUAUUGAGAACUUAAAUCAUGUGAUAUGUUUGGGGUUGCAUGAAUGCUUUGAAUAGAAAUGAAUGUAUUUGUACAUUCCAAACUUGGGAAUUGUUAUUUCUUUUAUUCUCGAGGUUGCAACCUAUUUACCUGAUAUGAGUGAGUGAGUCCUGGCGAGAGUUCGGUAGGCAAUCUGCUAAAUCCUGGGGUACGCCCUAGGGAGAGGUGGGGUCGUCACGGAUGGUAUCAGAGCUGCUUGGCAUGGUCUCCACGUGGAGUGAGUUUGGGCCAAGUGGUGAUAUGGUCCCGAUUAUGUGAAUAAGUGUAAAAGGCCAAGUGUUCUUCUUGGACGUAAGCUAUGAAUCAUGCCUGUUAUAAGUGGAAAUCCCUUAUCAUGGAUAGAUAUGUACGUCUGAUAGGAAUCUCUGGUAGGGGUGAUUUACUCUUGGGACCAGCCGACUCGAGAUGUGAAUUAUCUUAUUAUGGAUUCUUGUACUUGAAUAUCAAAUAGUGGAGAGCACUAGAAUAAGGGUCUGUAUCUUGAUUGCACUUGAGAUAAGUUUGUGGUAGGACUAUAAGUGAGAACAAGCCACUUGAAAAUUGGAGAAAAAUCCUGUAGCAUCAAGUUUUGUGCAAGCAAAUGUUAGAAUUUUGAGGGCGAAAUUCUUUUAAGAGGGAGAGAGUGUGAGACCUCGAAAUUUUACUUUUCUUUAUAACCCUUAUGUGAACUCACUUGCCUUUGAUUCUUGGUUGCUUUAAUGGUUGAAUUUGAGUCAAGGGAGUGAAUUUUGUUAAUAAAAGUUUCAUAAUGUCAAGUUGUUAGAAAAUCUAGAAAUUUUCGCAGGAGGCUCUGUGCAGCUUUGGAAAAUUGGCUAUAAUUUCGUAUAGGAAAGUCAGAAUUGAGUUCCGUUUGUUGUGUUGUAAACUAGACUCAGAGGGCUUCCUACACUUUAAAAUUCAGAGUUUGAUUCAAUCUCUAUAAAUUUCAGAAAAUUGGCAAAGUUGACUGAAAAUUCUGCCUUGCACAAGUAACAAUAAGAAUGUUGUAGUAGUUUAUAAUCCAAUUUGGACCAACUUAUGAACUGAAUCUCUUUGAGAUGUCUUCUAAAGAUUAUUAGUAUUCGAAGCCUAGUUUUUAAUAAGCCAAGUUUUAUAAAUUUUUGAUAUUCAUAACUCAUGUUAUGAUUUUUCUAAAGGAAUGACAUAAGUUAGAGUUUUUUUUUUGUACAUACUAGGGUUUUUAAUGUGUUUUGGUGCAUUUUGGUAGUGUGAUCACUUGGUGAAGUGUGUGUACUAAAUUUGGUGAAUAAGAAUGAGUAUUAGGUCAGAAAAGUGUGUGAUUAGAAGUGUUAAUAAUAAGUGAGCGAACCAUAAGUAAAAACAAAAGUACGCGCGAGUUAGAGAAAAACGGCUAGAACAGACGUGCACCGUUUGUUACCGAAUGAGUGUACCACUUGAACACUACUGUAUUAUCUUAAUCUCCUUGUUAUUAAUUGAGCAAAAUCAGCCCUAAAUAUCUCCUUAAACCAACAGAAAUUAUUGACCAAAAUAAGAAAGAGAAAGCAAAUUUUGAGAUUUCAUCUUGGAGUGACAAGUGGCAACCAUCCAAUGGUUGUUUGACCAAGCAAUUUUCUUUCCUUAUUAUCUUUCUCUUGGCUCCAUUUUCUUCAAUUCUUUACCUUGUUGGCCGAAAUUCAUGGAGAGAGGAAAAAUAAGAGAGCAAAGUUCAUCUUCAACUGCAACUUCAUGCUUGAAUCUUGAGUUUUAACCAACCAAAUUUCAAACCACUCCGUAAAGUGCUAACUAAGGGAGAUUCCAAGGUAUUGGUGAGUGAUAUAGGAAGAGAAAGGUCUUGGCAGCACCUUUUCAUAGGGUUUAAGGUAACCUUGGCUAGCAACUUUCUUCUACUUCAGAUAUGUGCAAACUAGUAGUUUAAGAUUUCAAUUUUUCGUAGCUUUGUGAGCAAAUUUAAUGGGUAGAAGUAGUAUUGUGGUAAAUUUCAGUUUUAUGAUAAAUUUUCUGCCUUUGUAUGAUGCUUUGUGAUUGGCCAUGGUUUAAUAACUUUGCCAUGUGUAAUAUUGAGGAACGUACCCUUGAAAAGUGAAAGUAGCGACCCUUUCAAAAUACGAUUUUUCCGAUCUUUGAUACCAAGUGUAACUCCUAAAGACGAAACCACUUCUUGCUCAUAACUAAAUGAGCAAGCAUGAAUUUUUCGGAAUUUGUUAAGCAUCUUGAAUACUACUUAAACGAGUUGCAUUUACUUGAUUUUCUUGAAGCGAAACUUCUAUGUUUCGAACUCUAGAGAGUUUUACAUUCGUAAACGAUAUUUUAUCGCAUAUUUGGAUUCCAACUGUGAGAACCCGUAAAUUUCUUAAUUUGUAGGCCUUAUUUUAUUUAUUUGCAUGCCUUUUAUGCAUUUUCUUUAUUAGGAAAAUUUUUCCGAUAAUUUUUAUGAGUAAAUAUAGUUUUUAGAUGAUUUUUCUAGUAUCGGUUAGGUUUUGAGAAAUUAAGAGCGUAUAUCGGAUGUGGGACCCGCUAGUGCGGAAAGUUCGGAAAAAUUCGGCCAACUAGGUUAAGUUUUGGAUACUGGGGUUAAAUUAUCGGGUGCUAUACGAUAAUUAGAGGUUGUUAUAUGGAUUUGUGUGAGAGGGAACAAAAGGAUAUGUAUGCAUUAAAUAGGGUGACAAGUGUCACCAUUUGGUUGGUUGUACUUUAUGACCACUAUUCAUUUUCUUACCAAUUGACCAAAUAAAUCAAAAAAAUACCAAAAAUUCACCAUUUUCUUCCUCCUCAUAGCCGGCCUCUUCAAGCAACAAAAGAAAGAAAACUCUUCAAGUUUUUGGCUUCAAUCUUGCUCAAAUCUACCAAAUCAACCACUUAAACUUGCCUUUGUUCCAUAAAACCUCUUCAAUUAGUGUUGGUGAGGUGAUUGGUGAAGUUGUUUGGAAAGCUAAGGUGACUAGUUGCUCUCUCUCUUGUGUUGCUAAGGUGAGUUGUGAAGAAACCCCUCUCCUCCACCUAAUGAUGCUUAAUUUGUGACUUGAGGUAGUUGAAGUAAUGAUCUUUGGUGUUAUUUCAUGAUUUUUUGUUGAAUUGGUGAAGUUUUAUAAUUAUUGGUGAAUUUUCUGUUUUCAUAUGAUUAUUAUUAUGUGGGCAUGUAUGAUGAUUGGAAAUGAUAUUUAAGGAAGCUAGAAGGUGGAAAAAGUGGUUAAUUGCAGGAAAUUUCUGUUUUGGAAGAAAAUUGGAAAAGUUAGGGUUUCAUUGUCUUACAUUCUGCCUGGCACUGUACCUCAUAGUUAGAGGCCGAAUUUGUAACGACCCCACCUCCCCCUAAGGCGUACCAGAGGGUUCGGCGGGCCGCCUGCCCAGCUCUCGCCGGGACUCAGUCGUUCUUUAAUCAAAUCCAGAACAAAUCACAAGAAUAAAUAGGGCAGCAAUCCAAAUUUAAAGUGGAACUUAUAUACAUUGCUAUCUCAAAAGGAAGUACAACCAUCAAAUGUACAAAGGUUCUCACUUCACCAUACAACUAGCCCGUGCCAAGCACUAGGGUGAGAACCAUUACAAAAGAAACAAAAGACCUAGACUAGGCUAGUCUAGGCUCUCAUCCUGCUCGCCGUCCCCUGUUAAGGAAAACAAAACUAAAGGGGUGAGCUAAAAGCUCAGUGAGGUUCCAAACAGAUAAUCAAACAAUCAAUUCAAUACAUUAAACAUGGAGUAUCAAUAAUUCAAGAAAUAUUUACAAUGGAAAGCAAUAGUAACAUUCAUUAAAAGGAUACGGCUCACAAGGAGCAAUUCGUUCAUUCGUUCUCCUGACAUUUCCCCUUAUUCCUCCAAUCAUUUGAAAAUGCAUUUUUUCGUUUAUCAAUAAACCCUCGUUCGUUCGUUCGUUCAUUCAUUCAUUCAUUCACCCCCGUCCUGGCCGUUGGCCAGUCUCCACCAACCUACAGGGUAAUACUCGAGUAUACCAAACGUUCACCCAAGUCCCUAAUCGCCCGACCGAGUCCGCUUCUGGCUCGAGACGACCGGUAACAAGGGGCAAUGGCCAGUUCAGCCCAAAAGGCUUACAUUCAUGCGCAAGUAACAUUUCAAUCAUUAAAUCCUUGAAAAUUACACAGUUAUUUAGGUCGAGUGCGAUAAAGUACACACUCGCCUAGAAAACUCGUUUUGGAAAUCAUUAAAAGCAAUUAACACAUUAGCAAAUGAUAACAACAAGCCAUAAAGUCAAAUAAGGAACACUCACCUAGAUAUACAAAAUAACGUGCAAAAUAUCCUUCCGGAUAUUACCCUUAGUCACCAAUGAAACCUAAGGUUGAACAAGAGAACAUAUUACAGUUUAUCGAGCAAAACAUUUAAGGGAAACAAAGAAACCCGACUAAUUAGGAGUAAAACGGGUAAAGAUGACUUUCAAGUAAGAAGAGGGUUGUUUGAACCCCAGGAUGAACAAUCAUGUUUUAAAAUGGAAAAUCGGUCAUGGUAUUGGCCAAACAAAAGUAUACAAGUUCAAAUAGAAACCUAGCCCUCGAGCGAAAAUUUGGGCAGCACGCCCUUUGUGUUUACCUAAUUUUCCAGCCAUUUUGGCUUCAUUAUUUUUCCUCAACCACAACCCAACAUCACACAUAAGCAAUUCAAGUCAAGAGCCGUUCCAUAGGCUCACAAUAUCAUAAGAAUAAGAAUUACAACAAUCACAAGUGCAGAAAUUCAACUUAGCACAAGACAGAUUUGACGUACGAAUGCGGAAAUAACAUAUCCGAAGCUACGCUUAUCGGAUUGAGAUGAAACCUAUGCCGUUUCGAAGCUAAGACACAGAGAUACAACAUUCAAUGAAGGUCACUUAGUCCAGUUCCUAAUGUAACUUAGUCAAAUUCCAAAUUACUAAACCCGAAACCAAUUCGUCGGCUGUUUAAACGCAGAACACUGUAAUGGACAUAUCUCAGAGUACACAAGUCCAAAUCAGGUGUUCUUAGAGGCAUUUGAAAGCUAAUUCAGAAUACUACAACUUUCAUGUUUUGGAAAAAAACUAAAUCAGAAUGGAUCCUAGUCGAAAAACGUGAUAAACUAGACUUAACUGAUCACACGGACUGCUUGGGAAAUACUUAAACUAGUAAGGGUAUUUUGGACUUUUCAUGUCCUACGUUGCUCCGAUUGAGCUGAAAUUUUGUAGACACCUAUAAAAUACCAUUCUCUACAACUUUUCUUCUUUGACCUAAGGCCAAAUCGGCCUCUAAUAUAGGGCUACCAAACCGGACAGAAUAGAAGAACAAUUUUCCAGAAUUCUGAAAUUUUCAGUUUCUAGUGGAAUUUUCUCAAAUUUCUGGUUCUAAUCACCACCAAACAACCUUAUAUAACCUUAAUUACAACAUUUACAAUCAUACAACAAGUUUAGGCAGAGAGCUAUGAAACUCUAGCUUGCUUAUUCAUCCCAAAAUUCAUCACAACCACUUGCAUAAUCAUGAAAUUAAGCCAAAACUUAAGCUAAAAAUCAUCUUAAACCCAAAAUUUAAGCAACAAGGAUCAUGACCAGAUUUGUACCUCUAAAGGAAGACUUGGAUGAGUGAUAGUUCACUCCCUUUGAAAUUUCUUGGUUCCUCAAGCUUCCCAACUCACAACCUCCACUUUAAUCGGUUUGGAAUUGGAAUUCCUCACUUAGUUGUAGCAAAUCAAGAAGAUGGAAUGUUUUUUUUCUUGCUCUCACAUUCUCACACUCUUUGGUUCAGCCAGCAGCAGAAAUAUGGAGAGGAAAGGUGAAAAAAUUGGUUAAAUAAGAUGCCAAAGUGUCUUGGUCAAGAUGCUCUUAGGUGGCGACAAGUGUCGCCACCACCACCUUUCUUUUUUUUCUCUUUCCUUUCCUUCUUUUCUAGCCACUAGUUUUGGUCAGCCUUAGCUGUAAUAUAAGAAGAUAUUUUGCUCAAGUAUCAAUGAACUUGUAGGGUAAGAAAGUGGUGGUCAAGUGGUGCGUUCAAUCGGUAGUGCGCGGGACCCGCCGGUUCGCGCCGUUUUUCUUAAAAACUCACGUACUAGGGUUUUUACUUCCCAUUCACUAACCUUAUAUCAUUGCUACCAAUCACAUAUUAUUUCUCACUUAAAAUUCACUUUUAAUCCUCAAAUUUAAUCCUUACUCUGUACCGAAAAUUCAUCCGGCGAAAAAAUCGCGAAAACCCUAAUUUUGCUCCAAACUUGAAACCGAAGCGUAAAAUCCUAUUUUCUAGGUUUACUUACACUUAUUGUGAAAUAAUUGGGUAGUGGCUUUGAUAAAUAAUAAUUUUCAAAUAAAAGGGUAUUUUUGAGAAAAAUACAAGAAAUUUGAGAGUCCUCACAUUCUCUCCCCCUUAAAAAAAUUUCGUCCUCGAAAUUUUACCUUCAGUUGCCUCAGACGAGUCUGGAACUUGUCGGUUGUCUAAAGCAUAAACCUUUGCCGGUCUGCUAGUUCGUUUCCCUCCUUCAUUCACUUGUGAUUUAGCUCCAUCCAGUUGCAGAGUAUUGCUUUCACGUGACUGUCUCCUCGGACAGUUGCUAACUUGAUGAUCGCCACUUCCGCAGAUUAAACAUUUCCGCCCCUUUCUCCAACAAUCGUGUAGACACCAAAUUUUUGUGUUUUAUUAUUUAUUUGCUAUUCGUUUUUUUAUUUGUUCUAUUUUUAUUUUGUCACAAUUAGUUUUAUUUGCUUUUAAUUUUAGUUAUUUUAGCCAUUUUAACGUAGAAUUUCUCAAAGGAAAAAGAAAAGCGUUCAAAAAAAAAAAUGUGUUUUAGUUGUUUUAGAUUUUAGUUUCAUUAUUUAAAAAUGAAAAUAAAGGAAAAAAUGAAAAAUGAAAAAAUCAUAAUUUUGUGUCUUUUAUUUUUAGUUUAUUUAUUUUUGUCCAAUAUUGCUUAAAUUGUUGUUUUUUAAUUUUAUUAUCAUUUUUUAAAUUACUUCUUAAAAAAAAAAAAAAAAAAAGGAGGUUGCGGCAUGCAAGCUGCGUUUUUCUCGCAGCUUGCAAGUAAGGGCUCGACAGCCCUUAGCUGCAAUUAUAGCAGAGAUGUUUGGGUGUUUAGGGUUGGGGGACUUCCAUAUAAAAGCCAAGAGAAUAGCAGCCGACAGAGGGAGAUUAGAGAGGAGUGGACGGCUAAGGAAAACUGAGAAGAGAGAGUGAGCGACAGUAAAAAAAAAAAAACCAGAAGAGUUACGGGGAGACUUUGAGGGAGAGCUAAGGGGGAUAACGGCUGAGAGUGAGAAAUAACAGAGCAAAAGGGAAAAGAAAGAGGACGACUGAGGGGAGGACUUCGGCUGAAGAAAAGCAGAGAAUUAGGAGGCAACGGCGGAGGAAAGCCAGAGAAGCUGGUUGCCGGGAAGGAAGGAGAGCAAAGUUUUAAUUUUUCGCUUACACCGAGGCUUCGGUUAAAGCCAAAGGUAACAUUUUUCAACCUGGAAGUUGCUUAUGGGUUACUUGAUCAUGUUAGAGUGCUGCGAUUCUUUCCCGUUUACAUUUGUUUCACCUUCCACGCGUGUGCAUCUGGAAAGCCGCGAAUAGGGUUGAGUUCAGGGGAGUAAAAGGGUUGCGUUCCAUGAGAGUGAGUUAGGCUAGAUUUUCAUUGCUGUUUUCAUGAUCUUCAUCAGAUCUUUGAUCCUUAACGUUUUGCUGGGUUGCUGUUUCCUUUACAUUUUGCCAUGUGAUGAUGGGUUUUAGCCGUAGAAGGUAUGGGUAGCCUGAUCUAUGUUGGUUUGGGAAACUGGAUUGCAUAAUUAGUGGUUUGAAUAAUGAAACCCACAGCGGUUGCAACAGGCUUUCGAAUUUGAAUGAUGAAAUCCUUGAUGGAUGUCAUGGCUGGAAGUUCAAGCUCGAAGCUUGAUUAAGUUUGUUGCAUUUUACAGAUUGCGAUUCUGGGUUUAAAAUGUUACUUUGUUUGAACUGCUGAAUUUCUGGCUAGGCUGAGAUAUUAUAACCAUGUGCACGGAACCUGUUCUUUUCCUCUUUUUCUGGAUUGGGUCUUAAGCCUAUUUUAGCCGAGUGAAAGUGGCAUGAACACAUGUUGCGGCGGAGUUUCUUUUGCUGCAUUUCCUUUGUUGUUUUUGGUUGGGAUGGUCAGGGGAUAGAUUCAUGUUCAAAGAUGUGUGUGAUUUGAUUCGUAAAUGAUGAGUGCUGUGCAAUGUUCUUGGCAAUCCAUUCAUGUGAGUAUCAAGCUGUAAAAAUUUUUUUGCAGCAUGACAAAGGUUACGCACCUAUUUGCUGUUUUUCCCUACUUCCAGCAAUAACAAACAAAACUGGUUUAAUCAUCUUUUGCUAGCUUAAUCUGAUGUUGAAGGGAAGGAAGAAGAAGGUUUGGUUUGAAUUUGUAUGUUUUGAAGUCUGAAAUGCAUGAGCUAUGGCCGAAUACUUUGCUGGAAAAUGAAUUUCAGAUUGCCAAACCAUUCUACAUGAAUGUCUUGUCCAGAAUUUCUGUCAUGCAUCAGUUCCUUUAUUGUUCUUGCUUGUUUGGAGUUUAAAGUUAAGUAGUUUGUUGCUUAGUUAGAGUUAUGAUAUUGGUUUGAGAAAUAUCUAUUCAAAGCUUUGUGUUUGAAUUAAAAAUCUGGCUUGCACGAUAGAGGAAAAAGGCCUCGGCUGGGAAAAAUUGCAGAAAAUCUUGUCCCUCAAAGUUAGCAUUUUUGUCCAGAUCAUUUUUGUUGCAUUUUUGAGUUCAAAACCUGUUUGAUCCUACUCCUACCUUUGCUUCAAAUCUCCGCAUUUUGAUUUGAGUGGAGAUAUAUUUGGGUUAUUUGCAUGAAUAUAGAUUCGGCCAAAUAGGUAAGAGAUUGAAUGAGACUGCAUAGCCGUGAGUUUGCAGAAUGCAUGCGUUUCUUUUGUGUUUUUUUUGCAUGAGUUUCUUUCUAUGUUUUGAUUGUUGAAAUGUUAAAGUUCCAUAUACGGUUGCUGGGUUAGAGCUUUGAUGUUUGGUGGGUAAAGUUUAGAUCAAAAUUGAGCAUGCAAACUGAAACUUGCGUUUGGAAUUUGAAACUGCAGCAAAGAUGUUAGCUGAAAAAUUGCAGAAGUGAAGUUCUUCGUAGCCUGCAUGAAUUGCAUGAAAUAACUUUCAGAAAUUGCCAUUUUAACCCCCCAAGUUCCCCCCUGACUCACUAUGGCCCAAGUAAUUGAAAAACUAAUCAAUUUGGUCCUUUUGAUUUCAAAGCAAUGUUACAAAGGCCCAAUAAUGUUCUAAAUUCUUGCAAUCGAGUCAUGAAGUAGAUGCAUUUUAGCCAUUACUUGCCCUUUUCUUCGUCUUUGGACCCUUGAGGUUCCUAAAAGUGUUUGAUUAAGCGUGAAUGCUUGGAUUAAUGUUCGCAUUUUAGUCCUUGGUAGUUUUAAUUUCGAAACUUCAUUGCUUGCUUUGCUUCAAUUAACUACUAUGUCUUGUUUUCCUUGCAAUUAAGUCAUGACUUUGGGAGCUUUACGAUCAAGUGAGCUUUUGUUUUUGCAUUUUUCUUAAUUAAAAUGGUACCUUGACCUCUUUAUUAUUUUGAAGCCAUUUUUCUUUCAUUUGGAUACCAUUCCAAGGGAGGUAUAAUUUCUUUUAUCUUUUUUUUGUCUCUCCUAUGUGCUCCUACGUGUUAUGUGAAUAUGCAUGUCUAUUUCGCUUUCCUUGUUUUUCUUUAAUUCCUUGCAUUUAUUUCUUUUACUUUUACUUUUAUUCAAGUAUUCUUUAAUGGGGUAUGUGUACACCUCUUGGCUUGUAAUAGAUAGGGCUUGGAGAGCAUUCAAUGAAGACCUAUCGAAGUCAUGUGCCUAGCUAGCAAAUGUAAUAGUUAGGGCUUUAAUUGUCUUAUGUGUCUUGCAUGCUUAGUUACUACGUGUUAAUUUGCUUUGUUAGGGCCUUGCAUCUAGUCGAGCAUGCUAAAUGUUAUGUGCUAUGUGUUUAUAAGUGUUUGGCAUGUCUACUCGCUUUCCAUAGCCAUGAAUGAAUGUGAUGGAUGAAUGGACGUUUCCACUAGUCCAACGCUAGUCGGAAUUCAUAGAAUGGGCUAGUCCAACGCUAGACCCUUAGGGAUUUCCCCUAGUUAGCACAUAUUUGCAUGUUCAUUACAUGUCAUGCAUUCUUUUUAGUUUUUAUCAUUUUGCAUGCCCCUUGAGCCCCUUUUCCCUCCAUUUUAGGAUUUUUGCAUUUCAUGCUAGUUAUAGGGUUCAUUUGCUUGAGAGUCCCCUUAAAUAUGGGAUAUAGACGAGUGUGGCUUUUUCUAAGCCUUAGCACGCUUGUAUCCUCUCUAUCAAAGGGCAAAUUGAGUCACGAUUUAGGUCUCCCCGUACCCAUUAUGCAUGAAUUCUCUAGGUUCAUGCAUCCACUCUAUCAUUACACUUUCAUUUUUUCCUCCCAUUUGCACACGUACACCUUUUAUCACUUCACUUGCACACUUUCACUUUUGUCUCAUUUGCACACGUACACCUUUUAUCCCUUCACUUGCACACGAACACUUUUCCUCCCAUUUGCACACAUACACCUUUUUAUCCCUUCACUUGCACACGAACACUUGUAAGUACAUUUGCACACCUCCACUUACAUCCUAUUAUUUUUAUUAUUUUCCUCACUUCACAUAUCCUCACAUUGCAUACAUGCAUUCCAUUCAUUUGCAUUCCACUCGCAUUAUUCGUGACUUCUUCAAAGGAUCGUUAUUGGGCUUCACAAUUAAUGUGAUUGGCACCACUCAACCUGUGGAGAGAAAUUUCCCCCAAUACCCCUAGGUCUAGGGUUUUGCAUUCAUGUAGCACAUCCAAAUGUAAUAAAUUCUUUGGUUAAAACAAGAAAAUCUUUGAUUAAAUCACGCAACUAGCCUUGGCUAGGUCGAAGGGGUGCCUUGGAUUUUUAUCCUUGCCUUCCCCUUCGUCAAAUGUGACUCCCGAACCUUUUUCUUUGGUUUACGUGGAUUAGGAGUCGUUUAAAAGGGGUUUCUUACUACUUUUUCCUAUUUUUUUCAAAAAAAUUCAUUUUAGGUGACUUGGUACACCUUAACUCAUUACCAAGUGGCGACUCCAGUUUUCAUUUCAAAAAAACCCUUUUUAAACUAUAAUUUUGGGUCAAAUCGUCGCAUUUUCAAAACCCCAUUUAGACCCAUUUUUCUUUUAAAUCACGAUUCAUUUUCCAAUCCCAAAAUACAUUUUUAAACCAUUUUAUUUUAUUUAUUCAAAAAAUGGGGCACGACAAAUCGCUUUCGACAUGAUUUGCCUUUCCACAGUACCCACAGACCACGUGAGAAGCCAUCUUUUGGCUUUCUUGAAAACUUUUCCCAAAUCUGAUUUGGCUUUCUUUUGUAGAUCCUUCACCUAUCGCCCCUAAUGUCCAUGGUGGGUGGGACAAAAAGUUCACUUUUUGCACUUUGGAAGGGACUCUCGCUUCACUUAAUUCCUCCGCUACACUACUCGAUGCACUCCUUUUCUGGGUCUGGGAAGCUUUUAUCUGUGCCUUUGCAGUCUCGAUUCUUUGAGCUUUCUCAAGGGCCUCCGUAAACGUAUUCACUUGUACUGCCGCUAAUGCUUCUUGGAGUUCCAAAUUUAAUCCCUGUAUAAACCGUCUUACUCUUCGCCGCUCUGUGGCCACCAAUUCAGAAGCAAACUUGGAUAGUUUCGUAAAUUUUGUUUCAUAUUCGGCCACACUUAGAGUUCCCUGGCGUAGUCCAAUAAACUCUUCCUCUCUCCUCUCUUGAACUAAAGGAGGGAGGUAUUUCUCGUUAAAUUCCCUUAUGAAAUUCGUCCAUGUCCAUACAGUCUGUUCUCUUUCCCAUUUUGCUUUAAUAACGUUCCACCACGCUCGGGCCGAUCCUUCAAAUUGGAACACCGCAAAGUUUAUUGUCUUUGCUCGGUGUAGUUCAAGAUGGUGAAAAUAUUAAUCAUGGCCUCUAACCAUUGUUCGGCUAUAUCCGGAUCAGAUCCUCCAAGAAAUUUCGGAGGAGUAAACUUCUGAAACCUCUCAAGAGCCUUAUCUUCUCCGAUUUCAGGGUUCGGGGUUGAUUCACGGCCAUUUGGCCUUGUUGAUCCACCAGUCUUGCCAAGAUAUCUGUCAUUUGUUGCAUACCGUUGCCAUUUGGUCUUCGGCUUCAACCCUCGUUCCUUGCUCUUGUGCAGAUGUUGUUUCUCUUUCCUCUCUUGGCUCUUGAGCUCGUUCAUUCCCACGGCCACGUCCACGUCCACGUCCACGGCUACGUCUCCCGUCCAUAUAUAUGUUUUCCCCCAAAAGGUAAUUUAGUAAAUAAACACGAUAAGGUUACUAAAGUAACUAUUGAGGGCACCAAAUAUUCAAAUAAACAUAUACCCACAUAACACGCCAUACCAAGAUGACGGAUAAGCAAAUACACAAAUACAUAUCAAGUUGGACAGAUAACCAUGUACAUACAGGUAUACUAACGUCAUGUAGUAACAAUAUACAGGUAAAUCAAAAGGAAAAGGUGAAGUCGUCCCAGUAUCAGCCCGUCCGGUCUCUCACGUCACUUACUAUCCAAACUAGAUGUCCCUGAUCUCUUGUGCUCAUUCUAGUCAGACAAAGCCUGUUCAUGUUCCCAAAAUGUAAGUCUCAAGUAUUUAGCAGCACCUCAACUAUAGAGUACUCAGGCACGAGAAUCCGAAAUAAGAUAAUUCACAUCUCGAGCUGCAGUCCCAAGAGUAAACUAUCUACAAUCGGAAUUCCUACCUGACAUACCUAUCUAUGGUCCUCAGAUACCAUUAGAAAGAUUUAAGGCCUAUAACAUUCGCAAUUCAUAGCUUCACUUAGUCCCUCAUACUUAUUCACACUUAGUCCAGGGUCACUCCACGUAGAAACCACGCGAAGCAACUAUAAAUUUUAUCCCUCAAUCGCUUAACUUUCAAGUCCAAUCAAAUCCCACAGUCCGGUAUCCUAAUCUUUAAUCUAGGAUACACUACAGAGAUCUGAAGCCUAAGCUCUGAUACCACUUGUAACGACCCCACCUCCCCCUAAGGCGUACCAGAGGGUUCGGCGGGCCGCCUGCCCAGCUCUCGCCGGGACUCAGUCGUUCUUUAAUCAAAUCCAGAACAAAUCACAAGAAUAAAUAGGGCAGCAAUCCAAAUUUAAAGUGGAACUUAUAUACAUUGCUAUCUCAAAAGGAAGUACAACCAUCAAAUGUACAAAGGUUCUCACUUCACCAUACAACUAGCCCGUGCCAAGCACUAGGGCGAGAACCAUUACAAAAGAAACAAAAGACCUAGACUAGGCUAGUCUAGGCUCUCAUCCUGCUCGCCGUCCCCUGUUAAGGAAAACAAAACUAAAGGGGUGAGCUAAAAGCUCAGUGAGGUUCCAAACAGAUAAUCAAACAAUCAAUUCAAUACAUUAAACAUGGAGUAUCAAUAAUUCAAGAAAUACUUUACAAUGGAAAGCAAUAGUAACAUUCAUUAAAAGGAUACGGCUCACAAGGAGCAAUUCGUUCAUUCGUUCUCCUGACAUUUCCCCUUAUUCCUCCAAUCAUUUGAAAAUGCAUUUUUCGUUUAUCAAUAAACCCUCGUUCGUUCGUUCGUUCAUUCAUUCAUUCAUUCACCCCCGUCCUGGCCGUUGGCCAGUCUCCACCAACCUACAGGGUAAUACUCGAGUAUACCAAACGUUCACCCAAGUCCCUAAUCGCCCGACCGAGUCCGCUUCUGGCUCGAGACGACCGGUAACAAGGGGCAAUGGCCAGUUCAGCCCAAAAGGCUUACAUUCAUGCGCAAGUAACAUUUCAAUCAUUAAAUCCUUGAAAAUUACACAGUUAUUUAGGUCGAGUGCGAUAAAGUACACACUCGCCUAGAAAACUCGUUUUGGAAAUCAUUAAAAGCAAUUAACACAUUAGCAAAUGAUAACAACAAGCCAUAAAGUCAAAUAAGGAACACUCACCUAGAUAUACAAAAUAACGUGCAAAAUAUCCUUCCGGAUAUUACCCUUAGUCACCAAUGAAACCUAAGGUUGAACAAGAGAACAUAUUACAGUUUAUCGAGCAAAACAUUUAAGGGAAACAAAGAAACCCGACUAAUUAGGAGUAAAACGUAAAGAUGACUUUCAAGUAAGAAGAGGGUUGUUUGAACCCCAGGAUGAACAAUCAUGUUUUAAAAUGGAAAACCGGUCAUGGUAUUGGCCAAACAAAAGUAUACAAGUUCAAAUAGAAACCUAGCCCUCGAGCGAAAAUUUGGGCAGCACGCCCUUUGUGUUUACCUAAUUUUCCAGCCAUUUUGGCUUCAUUAUUUUUCCUCAACCACAACCCAACAUCACACAUAAGCAAUUCAAGUCAAGAGCCGUUCCAUAGGCUCACAAUAUCAUAAGAAUAAGAAUUACAACAAUCACAAGUGCAGAAAUUCAACUUAGCACAAGACAGAUUUGACGUACGAAUGCGGAAAUAACAUAUCCGAAGCUACGCUUAUCGGAUUGAGAUGAAACCUAUGCCGUUUCGAAGCUAAGACACAGAGAUACAACAUUCAUGAAGGUCACUUAGUCCAGUUCCUAAUGUAACUUAGUCAAAUUCUCAAAUUACUAAACCAGAAACCAAUUCGUCGGCUGUUUAAACGCAGAACACUGUAAUGGACAUAUCUCAGAGUACACAAGUCCAAAUCAGGUGUUCUUAGAGGCAUUUGAAAGCUAAUUCAGAAUACUACAACUUUCAUGUUUUGGAAAAAACUAAAUCAGAAUGGAUCCUAGUCGAAAAACGUGAUAAACUAGACUUAACUGAUCACACGGACUGCUUGGGAAAUACUUAAAACUAGUAAGGGUAUUUUGGACUUUUCAUGUCCUACGUUGCUCCGAUUGAGCUGAAAUUUUGUAGACACCUAUAAAAUACCAUUCUCUACAAUUUUAUUCUUUGACCUAAGGCCAAUUCGGCCUCUAAUAUAGGGCUACAAAACCGGACAGAAUAGAAGAACAAUUUUCCAGAAUUCUGAAAUUUUCAGUUUCUAGUGGAAUUUUCUCAAAUUUCUGGUUCUAAUCACCACCAAACAACCUUAUAUAACCUUAAUUACAACAUUUACAAUCAUACAACAAGUUUAGGCAGAGAGCUAUGAAACUCUAGCUUGCUUAUUCAUCCCAAAAUUCAUCACAACCACUUGCAUAAUCAUGAAAUUAAGCCAAAACUUAAGCUAAAAAUCAUCUUAAACCCAAAAUUUAAGCAACAAGGAUCAUGACCAGAUUUGUACCUCUAAAGGAAGACUUGGAUGAGUGAUAGUUCACUCCCUUUGAAAUUUCUUGGUUCCUCAAGCUUCCCAACUCACAACCUCCACUUUAAUCGGUUUGGAAUUGGAAUUCCUCACUUAGUUGUAGCAAAUCAAGAAGAUGGAAUGUUUUUUUUCUUGCUCUCACAUUCUCACACUCUUUGGUUCGGCCAGCAGCAGAAAUAUGGAGAGGAAAGGUGAAAAAAUUGGUUAAGUAAGAUGCCAAAGUGUCUUGGUCAAGAUGCUCUUAGGUGGCGACACUUGUCGCCACCACCACCUUUCUUUUUUUCUCUUUCUUUCCUUCUUUUCUAGCCACUAGUUUUGGUCAGCCUUAGCUGUAAUAUAAGAAGAUAUUUUGCUCAAGUAUCAAUGAACUUGUAGGGUAAGAAAGUGGUGGUCAAGUGGUGCGUUCAAUCGGUAGUGCGCGGGACCCGCCGGUUCGCGCCGUUUUUCUUAAAAACUCACGUACUAGGGUUUUUACUUCCCAUUCACUAACCUUAUAUCAUUGCUACCAAUCACAUAUUAUUUCUCACUUAAAAGUCACUUUUAAUCCUCAAAUUUAAUCCUUACUCUGUACCGAAAAUUCAUCCGGCGAAAAAAUCGCGAAAACCCUAAUUUUGCUCCAAACUUGAAACCGAAGCGUAAAACCCUAUUUUCUAGGUUUACUUACACUUAUUGUGAAAUAAUUGGGUAGUGGGCUUUGAUAAAUAAUAAUUUUCAAAUAAAAGGGUAUUUUUGAGAAAAAUACAAGAAAUUUGCGAGUCCUCACAGAAUUGGCCUUGGAUUAAAACAUAAAAUUUGUAGGGAAUGAUAUUUUAGAGAUGCCUGCAAAAUUUCAGGUCAAUCGGAGCAACAUAGCUUGUGAAAAGACUGAAUUACCCCUGCUACCCUGUUUCUACCCGAAUUUGAUAAUUGCGUCUGUGAUUGGUUAAUUUGAGUGGGAAUGCUUCUGAUUUGGUUGUUGAUGUCUUCUGAUGAAUUUUAUUCUUGUAUCUUAGCUUUCGGAUGGCUUUGGAAUCACCUGAUUUGGACUUAGGUAGCCUGACUUAUGAUGUUUGUACCAGAAUGCGGUUUGUGAACCUGUUUUUGUGGUUCUGGUGUAGUAUAUUGCAUUUUUGACCUGGUUAAACUCGAAACUAGACAGAGUAACCUUCUGUAACUUUGUAUCCCUAUCUCUUAGCUUCGAAACGGUGUAUCUUACACCUCCAUCCGAUAAUCAUAGUGCCAAUGGUGUCAAAACUGCAAAAUGAUGUCAAAAACUAUUUUUAGGGUUUAAAGUUUAAUUCCAUUUCCGGAUUUCCCUGGUUUACUCUAGUGUUUAUACAUUCUUAUGGAGCCCUAUUUUGGUAGUAUGCGGAACUGGUUUAUGACUUGUAAUCGAGUCUUAUUGUGCUUGUUUGAAUAUUUUAGGGCGUGACGGUGAUUAAAGACGCUCUUUGGGCGAAAGGUUAUGAAAUUUCACUUGCUUGCCUGGUGAGUGUACUACUCACUUGUUGUUUACAAUGUGGCUUUGGUAUAUGUGAACUUGAUGCCUUGAAGGCUUAUCUGCUCUGUUGAAAUUGAUUAAGUGAGGGUGUACUUGAUCGCCCUCACCCAUUUGGUAUCUCAUAUGACUGUCUACUGUUUCACUGUAAUGAUUGAAUGAUAUAUGAAAUACUGAAUUUAAUUCAUGAAUUGGGUGUCGCUUGGACGAGUAUCCAACGACCCUUACUGAUACUAUUGAGCUCAACCCCAUUGGUAGUCGAUUGAAUCGAGCCAGCGAGGGCUUGGUCAUGAAGGUCGAUGAGCCAUGGGGACUGUUAUAUGGAAUCUUGUAGUAGUGAGACUCUUGAUUCCGGUAUACUCGAAUAUUACCAAAUUUCUACUGUUUGGAGUUCGGGCCCGGUAGGGUAUGUUGGGUGGAAGGAAUGGAAGUAAAGUGGAGCCUACGGUUGGUUACUCUUAAACAUUGACGGAGGGUCAAUGAGGUUCGAUCAAGAAUGCAAACGAGGAAAAGGGCUCUUGAGAGCCGCCCGUAUCCUUUUAUCACCACUAUUGAUGUGUGCCUUUGCUUACUUUUGAUGAAUUGGAAUGAAAAGCUUUAUGCUUAUGUGAACUUUGCUGCUUGAGUGGUAUUAUCUCAUUGGGCGUAAGCUCACUCUAUUCCUUUUGUUUCCUUACAGGAAAAUAAAUACUUUUGGAAAGGCGAUGAAUAUGGAUUGCCGAGUUGAGCUUAUGUAUUUAUAUAUUUUGAAUAGCUCCUUUUGGGCAAAACCCUAAACUCAUUUUGACCUAACCCAUCGUUGAAUUGUAAUUUGCAACCGUACAUGUAUAAACUUAUGGGAUAACUUUGGUAUGCCACUUUGGAUUGUAUAUGCUUAAUUUCAACUUGUAAAUAUUUGCUUGAUGUUUGGUUGGGUUUUGACGUGUCGGUUACUAUUCAUGGCCGACUCCGGUUUCAUUUUUUUUAUUUGGACAUUUUAACUUGUUUAUGCGCGUUUGUAUGUUCCGGAACGUAUUAGAUCGCUCUAAACUGCACCGUUAGUCCUGGCGAGAGUUGGGCAGGCAGUCCGCUAACCCCUUUGGUUCGCCUUAGGGAAGGUGGGGCUGUCACACCAACCAAGAAGUUGGACAUGAACGUGAUUUUUGAGAGGCACUAGACCUUGGGUGAGUGCUUUCAAAAACCUGAUUGAACUUGACACUUGUUUUCAAUACUUGACCAAUGUGAUCGAAUGAUAUGUGAUUAGCAGGGUCGGGUAAGGGUGUACAUUUUCGCACUUGCCCUACUGUGAUGUGUACUCGUUUAUGAUUGCAAUUGACUUGAUAUACAUGUGUUUGACUUGUAAGUGCUGAGCGUCAGUAUGCACCACACUCUAUCUGAGUGAGAGGUGCCUCUCAUUCUCGUCUCCGUACUUUUAUCUUGAAUUAGUCGAUUGGAGAUUUUAUCUCAUCGAAUUCUUGGGAAUCCAAACCCCAUUGGCUAGUUAAUUGAAUUGAGCCAGCAAGGGUUUGGUCGAUUCGAUAACGAAGCAUGGGUAUUUAGUGUUGUCGAGUGGAGUGUUAUCUCCUCAACUAAUGGGUAUACUCGAGUAUUAGCACCAGUGUUUAUCGUGGGGUUCGGACCCGGUAAGAGGUUUGGCUGGUGGACGGAGAUUGGAGUUAAGUGGUGUACUACUAGACUGGUUACUUUACUUGAAAGUUGACAGAGUGUCAACUAAUAAUUGAUCAAGCUCUGGUGAAGAAAUGGGAAUUUGGCUCCUUAGAGCCAUUUGUAUCCUUAUACAUUGAUUGUUAUUUGAAAUGUUAUUGUUCUUUUGGAAAAUAAAAAGAGUUUUUACUCGCUCAUUUUGACAUUUGCUAUUUGAAGUGUUAUUGCUCACUUUCAUGAACUUGUUAUGCUCGCUAUUUUGCUACGUAAUGUACACUAUUUUGCUACGUAAUAUUUGUACAUUUCAAUAAUGGUCAACUUGUUAUUUGGAACCUCACUGGGCUUUUAGCUCAUUCCACGCUAUUUGUUUUCCUUGCAGGGGGUAACGGGCGAGGCUUGAGACUGGUACAGGCUAGCAUAGUCUAGUUUUUGAAAAUUUUGCGAUUGUAUUCGCACUAGUCACUCAAUUAGGGUUGAAUGUAUUGAGAACUUAAAUCUUGUGAUAUAUUUGGGUUGUACGAAUGCUUUGAAUAGAAAUGAAUGUAUUUGUAUGUUCCAAAAUUGGAAAUUGUUAUUUCUUUUCCUCUCGAGGUUGCAACCUAUUUACCUGAUGUGAGUGAGUGAGUCCUGGCGAGAGUUGGGCAGGCGAUCCGCUAAAUCCUGGGGUACGUCCUAGGGGGAGGUGGGUCGUCACAGAUGGUAUUAGAACUGCUUCACGUGGUCUCUGCGCGGAGUGAACUUUGGCCAAGUGGUGAUAUGAUCCCGAUUAUGUGAAUAAGUGUAAAAGACUUAGUGUUCUUCUUGGACGUAAGCUAUGAAUCGUGCCUGUUAUAAGUUGAAAUCCCUUUUCAUGGAUAGAUAUGUACGUCCGGUAGGAAUCUCUAGUAGGGGUGAUUUACUCUAGGGACCGGCCGGCUCGAGAUGUGAAUUGUCUUAUUAUGGAUUCUUGUACUUGAGUACCAAAUAGUGGAGAGCACUUGAAAAAGGGUCUGUAUCUUGAUUGCACCUGCGAUAAGUUUGUGGUAGCACUAUAAGUGAGAAAAAGCCACUUGAAAACUGGAGAAAAAUCCUAUAGCAUCAAGUUUUAUGCGAGCAAAGGUUAGAAUUUCGAGGAUUAAAUUCUUUUAAGGGGGAGAGAGUGUGAGACCCCAAAAUUUUACUUUUCUUUAUAACUCUUAUGUGAACUCACUGACCUUUGAUUCUUGGUUGCUUCAAUGGUUGAAUUUGAGUCAAGGGAGUGAAUUUUGUUAAUAAAAGUUUCAUAAUGUCAAGUUGUUAGAAAAUCUAGAAAUUUUCGCAGGAGGCUCUGUGCAGCUUUGGAAAAUUGGCUAUAAUUUCGUAUAGGAAAGUCAGAAUUGAGUUCCGUUUGUUGUGUUUUAAACUAGACUCAGAGGGCUUCCUACACUUUAAAAUUCAGAGUUUGAUUCAAUCUCUAUAAAUUCCAGAAAAUUGGCAAAGUUGACUGAAAAUUCUGCCCUGCACAAGUAACAAUAAGAAUGUUGUUGUAGCUUAUAGCCCAAUUUGGAACAACUUAUGAAUUGAAUCUCUUUGAGAUGUCUUCUAAAGAUUAUUAGUAUUCAAAGUCUAGUUUUUAAUAUGCCAAGUUUUAUGAAAUUUUGAUAUUUAUAACUCAAGUUAUGAUUUUUCUAAAGGAAUGGCAUAAGUUAGAGUUUUUUUUGUGCAUACUAGGGUUUUUAGUGUGUUUUGGUGCAUUUUGGUAGUGCGAUCACUUGGAUAAGUGUGUGUACUAAAUUUGGUGAAUAAGAAUGAGUAUUAGGUAAGACAAGUGUGUGAUUAGAAGUGUUAAUAAUAAGUGAGUGAACCAUAAGUAAAAACACAAGUACGCGCGAGUUAGAGAAAAACGGCUCAAACAGACGUGCACCGUUUGUUGCCGAAUGAGUGCACCACUUGAACACUACUGUAUUAUCUUAAUCUCCUUGUUAUUAAUUGAGUAAAAUCAGCCCUAAAUAUGUCCUUAAACCAACCAAAAUUUUUGACCAAAAUAAGAGAGAGAAAGCAAAUUUUGAGAUUUCAUCUUGGAGUGACAAGUGGCAACCAUCCAAUGGUUGUUUGACCAAGCAAUUUUCUUUCCUUCUUAUCUUCCUCUUGGCCCCAUUUUCUUCAUUUCUUUCCCUUGUUGGCCGAAAUUCAUGGAGAGAGGAAAAACAAGAGAACAAAGCUCGUCUUCAACUCCAACUUUAUGCUUGAAUCUUGUGUUUUAACCAACCAAAUUUCAAACCACUCCAUAAACUGCUAACUAAAGGAGAUUCCAAGGUUUUGGUGGAGUGAUUUGGGAAGAGAAUGGUCUUGGCAGCCCCUUUCAUAGGGUUUAAGGUAACCUUGGCUAGCAACUUUCUUCUACUUCAAAUAUGUGCAAACUAGUAGUUUAUGUGACGCCCCCACUUUCCCAAGGGUGAACCCGAGGGUAUCGGCGGGACGCCUGCCUAACUCGCACCAGGACUCGAAAAUGCCAAACAAUAAAAGCUAAAUAAACCAAAAGAGUACUAUUUACAAUAUAUACAACCCCAAAAGUGUUCUAUUUACAUCCUCAAAAGGAGUUAUCCAACUACUACAUUACCUUAUGAUAAUGACCAAAAUCAGAAAAUAGACCCGAAGAAGGGUCCUUACACAGAUCACUAAAAUAAGGAUAACCAUCUUAACUAUUCAACUAUUACAAGUAAACCUAACUAUACUAGUGAAUGUACCAAGGAGUUCCCCGCGUCGGUUCCUACUAAGGAAAACAAAGGGAAAGGGGUAAGCUAUAUGCUUAGUGAUUAACCAAAAUGUAAUUUACAUGUCAACAUUUGCACAGUGAGAGCAAAGCAAAAGCAGAAAAGUAACAUCACAUGGUAAGGAUACGGGUGGCUCUCAAGCCAACUCAUUUGUCGAGCUUGAUCAUUGGUUGACCCUUGAGAACCAGAGCCACACAGCUCGCUUCUCUUAAAGGAUCCCACAUAGAGAGACCAUGAGCCUCAGCUCAAGUCACGAGCAAUAAAUGCUCAAAAAUAUUUUCCAAGCAAUAAAUGCUCUAAAAUCGUAGUUUAAGCAAUAAAUGCUCUAGUGCAAGCAAUAAAUGUUCUAGUUCAAGCAAUAGAUGCUCUAGUUCAAGCAAUAAAUGCUCUCAAAUUGCGUCACAAGCAAUAAAUGCUCCACAAAUGUUUCACAAGCAAUAAAUGCUCCAUAACAAAUCACAAAAUUAUAUUUCACAGGUAUCAAGAUCAACUAAUGGGUUUUAGAUCGAGUACGAUAAAGUACACCCUCGGCUAAGUGCCCAUUUUUCAUAGUAAAUUCAUAUUAGUAUUGAGUUACACAGAAACCCUGAUUACUCACCUAAAGAGCAAGUAUAAACGAGAGAAAGUACAGAAAUGAAUUCAAGUCGUCAGCUAGUGGGCCCCACCAGUACCGUCUAGCCCGUCACCGCCUGUAGCAGAAGGUUGAGCCAUAUUAUCACACAAACAACUACUAAAGUGCGUAAAUUAAGCAAAACGGUAAAAUUGGCACAUGCAUGUGCGGAAUUGACAAAUGGAAAUGGGCAUAGUUACUGUCCCAAACUCUUUUGACCAUAAGUUAGGCUAGGAAUGUUGGAUUAAAGUGUAUAAGAUAACAUUUUGAAGCUAAAAGAAAAGGCUACAACUUUCAUGAAGACACCUAAAUUCGGAUCUGAACAGAAAUAGGUCGAAAGUAUGGAAAACGGUGCCAGAAAUUUGCACUUUAGGGUAACGGACAGGGUCUAUUGGCCGGACCAUAUCUCACAGCUCACAAGUCCAAAUCAAGAAAUUCCAAAGACUUUAGGAAGCUGUGUCAUAAUGCUAAAACUUUUAUGUUUUGAUCAAAACCUGAAUCAAUAUGGAGCAGGGUGAAAACCAGGUCCAAAGUUCCUGUCAGAAUUGUCCAAAUUCAAAGGCAGUUCUGACAACCGAUCUUGUUUUGGUCAUAACUGGAGCUACGGAAUUCAGAUUUGGAUACAAUUUAUACCGUUUCGAAGCUAAGACCAAGAUCUACAUUUCUUAUGAAGGGAUCAACACCCAGUUCAUACGUUAUCAAGACGGACAAAGCAUGGUCAGAAGCAAAAUUCAAAAACGUAACACAAUCCAGUGUUCAAAACAGGAGUGAGUGUUUUGUAUAUACCUCGGGCAACACUGAUCCGUUUGACCUAAAAUUUUGUAGGCACAUCAAGGACUUAAGAAGCUACAACUUUCAUGUUUUAAGUAGCUUCCGAAUCAGCACGCAGCAUAAAGAAAAACAGAGUCCAAGUUCGGAUUUGUGAACGGCCCUGUUCUAGUUUUGCCGGUUUUUGAACUUUGCAAAUACAUGGUCCAUUGCUAUGAUUCUUAUACAAGUUUUCUAACCAAUUUUCAUACCAAAUAACACUACAUAUACCAGAUUCUAAAAGACCUAGUAAUGGUCCAAAAUUUCCUUUCCCAAAUUACCCAAUAUUAACCACCAUCUAGGUUCCAAUUCCACUAAUCCUUUACUAACUUCAAAACCUUAAUCAACUAAACCCUAACCUUCCAAGUUCUAACUAAACCAAACUAAUUUUCCUUUUUCAUUAGGGUUCCAUAACAAACCUGAUUUUAUUAAGAAUUUACCAUUCAAAUGACUUAAUUACAUCAAAAGUUUCAUUAUCAAGUCCAAUCACUAACCAAAUUAACUAAGUGAAGCUUAACCAAGAAUCCCUAAUUUCUUCUAGCCUUAACCAAAAUUUCAGCAACAUUAUCACUAAAUUAAACUAUGAAAUUACUCCAUCACCAUAUAAUCAUCAUCUACAUCAUGUAAUAUCAAAAUCAUAACAAAAGCACCACUUUUCAUGGAUUCAAGUCUUAACUACCCAAAACCAACUUUCAAAUAGGAUGAUUUACCUUUGAUUAAAGCUUUGUAGAUGAUCAAACCACCACAAUCAAGUGCCAAGGUUUUUGUUCUAGGCUCCAAGAUCAAGAUUAAUGGACAAAAGUUGAUGCACCAAAGGAAUUUUUCUUCUCCCUUUUCUUCUCCCUUUUCUCUCCAAUUUUCGGCCCUUUCUUUCUCUUUUUCUUUGUUAUUUUAUGACUUGGUUUCUCUUGUAUGUUCUAGAUAUAAGCUUAGUCAAGACAUUAGAAGAUAUUUUCCCUCACACCCAAUCACAUAAAAGCUUCCAUUUUGCUCCUUUAACCCUUACUCCUUAAUUUACAUUUUAUUCAACUCUUGCCCUUAAACAUUUGAACUCCUUGCAAUUUACUCCAUAGAGCUUAAACUUAAUCUAGUCCAAACUAAUUAAUCUUACUUAAUCUCUCUACUAAUCACCCCACUAACUUAAUCAUCUAUCCUUAAUUAUUCCUUAUUCCACAUAAAAGCAACUAAACCACAAUCUUUUUACAUUAGCUAGAUUAAGGGUUUUAAACCCAACUUAAGGUUGUUCAAUUAACAAAACACUAGAGAAUUUACUAGUGUAAGACUUUUUAACUUUCUAAUCCUACUUAACCUUUAUAAAAGAAAUCGAAUCCGGUAUUUACUCAUACGAAAACAUACAUUAGCAUGCAUAAUAUUUACUACCACAUAAACUUAUGAUUAAUAUGCAAACUAGGGUUUUGUGUAAAAAUAUCAAAGGUGUAAAUCCAUUAGGGUUUUAAUAAAAUUUCAAAUUAAGGUUUUUCGAUUCUAAAAAGCAAAAUCACAUGUAAAGAAUUACCAUCAUUCUUAAAAAUCAAAUUUUAUAGCAAAAUUUAACACUAAUAUUCCUUAUUCAAAAUUAAGGAUGAAUCGGGAUCUCACAACCUCCCCCUCUUAGAAGAAUUUCAUCCUCGAAAUUCAUACAUUCGGUGUCCCUGAUCGGCCUAGAAAUGGUUUCCUUCGACCAUGAUUUAUUUCCUCCCCUCGACUUCUGAGGGCACUGAGCAACUAGGUGUUCAUUGCUACCACAUCGGAAACAUCGCCGAUUUUUCUCUUUCUUCCAACAGGUAUCUUCCGUAUGGUUAGUGGCCCCACAGACAUCACAUACUCUUCUGGUUUCGAACAUCGAUUCCCCAUAUGAGACACCACUUUGGGGCCCUUUUCCUGCCUGAUCUUCCCUUGUUUUACCUUGAUUCGGAGUCCCCACUGGUUGUGUACCAUCGGCUUCCUUACUCCUCUUAUUAGGUGGCUCGCUUCCCGAGCUUUGCCCACCAGUGUAGGUAUAGGUGUCAGAUGGUGUUCUCUUCUUGUCACAGAAAGCUUUCACCUGACUCCUUGAAGCCGCCAGUGCCUCUUGUAUUUCCACGUUUAAUCCCUGGACAAACCGACGAAUUCUCUUUCGGUCUGUUAGUACUAACUCUGGAGCAAAACGAGAGAGUUUGGUAAAUUGUGACUCGUACUCUGC
rnacentral:lncRNA from 1 species